ACAGACAACCUAACAUUAUGUAUCUUUUCCAUUGCAUGAAAAAUGCAUUUAUGCUUUCAUGUCCUUUUGUUUAUUGAAUUCUUAUGUUGCAACCUUUUAUGACAAUUGUGAAUUGAAUAUUAUAUUGCUAUACUUGGUUGUGUGUUUAUGAUUUAGUUGUAUUUUUCAAUUAAGACAUAAUUUCAUGUGAGUGUUUGUCUUAAUUGAUUCAUUUAAUCUUUGCAACGCCUUUGAGUAUGUUUAAUUCUAUAUGUUGUUGUGUAAUGAUUCAUGAUGCUUCUCACGUUUUUCUGUCUUUAUCUCUUUUUGAUGUUGUCAAAAGGGGGGAAACACAAGGUUUAUGAUGCACAUAUUCAGGGGGAACUUUGCAAAAGACAACAAGAGUUCCUAGUAUAUUUUUCCAUCAUCAAACAGAGGGAUUAUGUGAGUGUAAUAUUCUCUUAGAUAGUAUUUUGAAUGAUGUCAAAACUUGGUAGGUUAGAUCUUUGUGUAUUUGGACUUUACAAUCUUAAAUGUGCAUCAUCGUCAUAGUAAAACAUGUAAGACUAGAUUACAUAAGUCAUCACAUGCUAAAAUAUGAGUUUUUCACAAAAGACAUGCAUGGGUCGAUACAUGUUGAGUAUGGGUUGAUACACACUGAGUGGAUUUUCAAAGAAUUCAAAACUACCUCAAAUGGGUCGAUAUAAAGGAUAAAUGGGUUGAUACAUCCUAUGAAUGGUUCGACUCGUUCUUGUUUGGGUCGACUCAAUCUGAAAGAUGUUUUUCAAAGAUUUGUCGCUGCUUCUAAUGGGUCGAUACAAAGGAGAAAUGGGUCGAUACAUUGAGCGAAUGAGUCAACUCUCCCGUGUUUGGAGUAGACUCAUCCUGAAACUUUUUCUUUACAAAUUGUCUACUGCCUCUAAUGUAUUAACUCUAUUUGAUUUCGUAUUGGCUCAUUCAGCUGAUGUAUUGACUCAUUUCAUUUUAGAGUCAAUACAUUUUGUACCAAAUUUUAAAAUUGCAUUUUGGCUAAAAAAAUGUUUUACUCAUUUCUUUUCUACACUCACACAUACAUAUAAAUACGCAUUCAUGCAUCAUUUUUAAGUAAUUGAAACCUGAAAGACACAAAGAAUUUUCAUCAUCUUUAACCUCUCUUGACGCAUUCAUCAACUACACAUAAUCAUUUAUGAUUGUUUGUUGGGAAGAAAAUUUUGAUAAUGUCUAAUUUAGGUUUGUGUAAUCAAAUUGGGUUGAGGUUUUCUUUGCGGGUUUCGAGGAUAAAAUCGUUAGGGUUUUUACUCCAAGAUCAAGGGUUAAUUUGGAGUUUUUUGCACAACCCUUGUUAACUUAGAUUCAGCGAAGCGAAGGCUCUGAAGAACGGGGGUUCUUGUAAAGGAGUAACGGUAACCAGAGGUUAAAAUGAAAGGCUUGGGACAAGAUUUUGCAAUUUGGAUUCAGCUGAAUGAAAGCUUUGAAGAACAUAAUGUUCAGUCAAAAGAGUAAUGGUAACUGAAGGAUCAUAUUGGAGAUCUUAUAUGACUUGAUCUUGCUAAGAUCAAGGAUAGAGAAUGAGCUAUGAUUAACAUUAAACAUAGGGUUUAGGGUUUGAAUUUCUACUACUUCUCUUGUAAAUUGAUAUUGCUAAGGUUAAUUACAAUAUCUCUAUUCAAUUUUGAAUUGAGGACAGACGUGCCCAUAGUGAUGACAAUUUGGGAACUGCCUAAACAAAUCUUGAUGUUCUCUCUCUCUCUCAAAUUUAUUUUUAGAUUUUGAUCAUACUUAGUGUGUAGUUUGAAUUUAUGGAAAUUUUGGAUGUGUUGAAGUGUUUAAAACUAUUUGUGUAAAACGAUUGAAAUCUAAACCAUUGAAAUUAAUUUAUUGUAACUUAAACACAAAGAGAAUCAAGCUUGGUGUAUUGCACACCAAGUGUUUGACAAAAUUACUCUGUCAAGUUUAUUUUUACUUCUCAUUGGAAAUAAUUUAUGUUAAGUGGGGUUUAUAUUGAAACAAACUAUAUUGAACUUUUGGAUUGGAUUUUGUCAUCUUUAGCAUACUUUAUAUUAUAGUUUGUACGCAUAUCUUUCCACCAAUAACGGUUCUGAUAGACGAGAUUCGAUCCAAAUUCGUUUUCACUUGCCAUAGAAAAAUAACUUUCAAAAUAAAAUUUUAAGAAGAAAAAAUUCAUUAGGCAAUCUAUUCAACCCCCACCCCUUUUAGAUCGUUACCUCUUCUAACAUCUCCCUUUGACGCUUCUGAAUGUUUAUGUUCUUCGAUAGGGUUAUUUACCAUUCUCUCUCUCUCUGAUGCUUUUGAAUGUUUAUGUUCUUCUCUAGGGUUGUUGAUUUAUUUUUUUAAUAGAUAAAUGAUAUUAGGAUGUUGUGUGUAUUCACAUUGUCAUGUGUAUUGUUCAUGUUACAAUGUUCAUGUUUUAUUCAGAUUUUGUGAAUAUGCUUUAGGUUAUGGUGUUGGAUAUGCAUAUGCAUAUAAUCAUAUUAGGAUGUUGUGUGUCUAGUAUUAAUGUUCCAUUCAAAUUUGUCUUUUGAUAUAAAUUUCAGAAUUUGUUAUGGAUCGUAGUUGGAUGAAAGUUGAUAUAUUAGGUCCGAUGUAUGAGAAAUAAGUUAUUGAAUUCCUUGAAUUUGCCAAAAAAAAAAGUUCUUGACAAUAAUGGCAUCUUUUAUUGUUCUUGUGUUGUUUGCGGGAAUAUAAAAAAACGGUCAAAGAAAGAAAUAUUACAUCACAUAUGUUAUGAUGGAAUAUGUCAAAAUUAUACAACAUGGAUGUAGCAUGGAGAAGUGGAUAAUAAUCGAAAUACAAUGUCACAAAUGGAUGAAGAUGAUGAAGAUAUGGAUCAUCGACUAAAAGAUACGAUCUGUGAUAUUGGAGAAUCAUAUUAUAUGAAAGCCCAUAUUUAUGAUACUUUAUGUAGCAACAAAGAUGCACUUUUAUAUAAGGGAUGCACCCAUUUUAUAUGAUUGUCUGUGUUGUUAAAAUUGUUUAAUCUGAAGACAAAAGGUGGGUGGUCGGAUAAAAGUUUCACAAAAUUGCUUGAUUUGUUUAAACAAAUGCUACCAGAAGAUAAGAAUUUGUCGGAUUAUUAUUACGAGGCCAAGAAGACAUUGUGUACAAUGGGUUUUGAGUAUGUCAAAAUACAUGCAUGCCCUAAUGAUUGCAUACUAUACAUGAAGUAUUAUGAAAAUUUGGAUCAAUGUCCAAAAUGUAGUGAGUCGCACCACAAGUUGAAGAACAAUAAUGGUGAUGACAAUGACAUUGUUAGUAAGAAGUGUCCUCUUGCUAAAGUGUUAUGGUACUUUCCAAUAAUUUUAAGAUUAAAGAUACUUCUUGAUAAUGAGAAUGACACAAAGAAUAGUAUAUGGCAUCCAGAUGAAAUAAAAUAUGAUGAAAAAAUUUGCCAUGUAGUUGAUUCUUUGCAAUGGAAGAUAAUUGAUUCAUUGUUUCUGGAUUUUGGCAUUGAGCCAAGAAACCUUAGGCUUGGGCUUGCCAUAAAUGGAAUGAACCCCUUUAGUAAUCUGAGUACUAACCAUUCUUCGUGGCCUAUUCUUCUCACGAUUUACAACCUAUAUCAUUGGAUGUGCAUGUAUAUGAUGUUAAGUAUGAUUUAUGGACCAAGACAACCUGGAAACGGCAUAGAUGUUUAUAUAAGUCCAUUAAUUGAGGAUUUGAAACUUUUAUAGGAUAAAGGUGUUGACAUUGAUGAUGCAUAUUCUGGUGAAAAGUUUAAGAUGCGUGAAAUGUUAUUUUGAACAAUCAACGAAUUUCCUACAUAUGGUAAUUUGGUUGGAUAUAGUGUCAAAGGACAUAAAGCAUGUCCUAUAUGUGAAUCUGAUACCUAUUUUCAUCAGCUUGAGUUUGGAAAAAAGACAGUUUACCUUGGGCAUUGGAAAUUUCUAAAACUCAAUCAUCCUUAUCUUAAAUUAUGGAAGGUUUUUAAUGGAGAACAUGAGUUUGAGAGCGCUCAUAAACCUUUAACUAGCGAUGAAGUUUAUCAACGACAAGAACACCUUACUAUUUUCUUUGGAAAGAAUAAAGAUGGUCAUGCUGAGAGAAAUAUUUGGAAAAAGAGAUAGGUGUUUUUUGAUAUUCCAUAUUGGUCUAGACUCGAUGUAAGAUAUUGUCUUAAUGUGAUGCAUGUGGAGAAAAAUGUGUGUGAUAGUUUGAUAGGAACACUUCUAAACAUUCCAGGAAAGAGUAAAGAUAAUAAGAAUUCCCGUUUAGAUAUUGUGGAGAUGGGUAUAUGAAAAUAGUUGGCUCCAGAAGAUAAAGGAAAAAGUUCUUAUUUGCCUCCGACAUGUCACACUCUAUCUAAAAAAAGAAAAGAAAAGUUUUUGCGAGUGUUGGCAUGGUAUCAAAGUUUCCCAAGCCUAAUCAUCAAACAUCAAGAAACUUGUAUCAUUGAAAAAUAUCAAGUUAAAUGGCUUAAAAUCUCAUGAUUUCCAUGUCUUGAUGCAACAACUUCUACCAAUGGCUAUCUGUGGUAUCCUUCCAAAAAUUGUAAGAGUAACUAUAAUUAGAUUGUACUUAUUCUUCAAUGCCAUAUGUAAUAAAGUUAUUGAUUUCAAAAAAUUAGAUGAAUUAGAAGAUGAGACCACAAUAAUAUUGUGUCAAUUGGAGAUGUAUUUUCCUCCAUCAUUUUUUGACAUUAUUGUUCACUUACUUGUUCAUCUAGUCAGAUAAAUCAGAUUUUAUGGUCCAAUUUAUUUAAGGUGGAUGUAUCUUAUAGAGCGAUAUAAAAAAAUAUUUAAAUGAUAUACUAAGAAUCAUCACCGACCAAAAGCUUUGAUCGUUGAAAGGUACAUCACAAAAAAAUCUCUUGAAUUUUAUUCAAACUAUUUAUCGAAAGAAUAGUCUAUUGGAAUUCCAAAGUCUCGUCAUGCUGACAAAUUUGAAGGUAGAUGUACUCAAGGUUUAAAUAUUAAGUCAAUGGAUGAGAUGUAGUAAUUGAAGCACAUUUAUAUAUAUUGAAUAAUCUUAGUGUAGUUGGACCUUAUAUAACUAUUCACAAAACAAUUAUAAAGAAAAAGUAUCCUCGAAUGAAUGACAAGUGGUUGUUGACGUGACAUAACAAGGAAUUUAUAAGUUGGUUUAAUAAGAGGAUUUCUAAUGAUGAUGGUCCAUCCUAGACAAUUUAAUGUUUGUCAUACAUGCCAAAAUUUAUUGUGAUAACUUGAACGACAUAUGACAUUUCUAAUUUCCUUUUAUAUAAAAGCAAAAGAUGAUCAAAGUACAAGACAAAAUUGUAAGGGUAUGGUUGAGGUUGAAUCCAUGUAUUUCUCUAGUUCGCAAGAUAAGAAUCAUAUUUUAGCAACCACCGCGUUCUAUGGUGUCAUUGAGAAGAUUCUAGAGAUUGAUUAUGUUAUUUUCAACGUGCCUUUAUUUAAAUGCAAGUGGGUUCCCAAUAACAAUGGUGUACAAAUUGACGAGUUAGGAUUCACACGAAUUGACCUUGGCAAGACAACUUAUAACAACAGACUAUUUAUCAUGGCUAUUCAAGCAAAACAAGUUUUUUAUGUGACAGACUCUGCAGACUUAUCAAAGAGAUGGUCAAUUAUUCUCAAAGGAAAACAUAUUUCUCAUAGUGAUGGUGCAAGUUUUGAUAUUUCUUCCACUCCUUCUUAUGCAACACAAAUGCCUACUUUAUAUGAAGAAGUUGAUAGAGAUGAUCUACAUGUUAUUUGUAACGAUCAUCAAGAAGGCAUAUGGGAAAAUUAACAAGUAUUUUAUAUUCUUCAUUCAUAAUUUAUUGUAUGUUAUAAUUUCUAAUGAUAUUAUUUUCUAACAACUAUAUUAUUUGAAUAUAGGUAUUUAAAGUCAAGACACAAAGACAACAAGGUAAUAUUAUUUGAUAUAAUGAUGUGUACAUGGUAGGUUAUUUUGUGUCAUUUUGGCUUUGAUGUAAUAUACAAUUUUUGGUUCCUAAUGGAAUUGUGUCAUUGGUGUAAUACAAAAUUUGGUCUAAUUCAAUUCACAAUUGGGUGUAUUCUUGUUUCUGGUCUGAUACGAUUCAAAAUAUUAAGGUUAAAAAUUUGAGAAUACUGUAAAAUUGAAAAAUAUAUACUAAAUAAAUAAAUAAUAUCACAAUGGUUUUUAAUUCAACCGUUGUUAUAAGUAGAGCACUAUGCAUAAUAAUAUAAUGCAAAAAUGACGUUGUUGGGAUUUGAACCCAAAACCUAUAAAUUAUUUCACAACGGUUGUCUUCUUUAUCCAUUAUUGUAAGUAGCAUGCUACCUAACUUAUAACCACAAUCACUCGCUCGUUGUGAAAACCAACAUACAUACAAUCACACACUACCUAACAAUAGACGUGAAAUUGUCAUUGUAUGUGUUUCACAACUGUCAUUAUAUGUGUUUUCUAUAAUAAUGCUUUUUUGAUUUAUUGCAUAAGUUACAUGUAGCAUCCAUAUUAUAAAUUUUGAAAAAAAUCGCACUGCAUGUCUUCGGAUUUUAUAAACCAAACAAACAUAUUGACAUGUAUUUAGAUUUCAUAAUAUGAAUAUUAUUAGAAUGUGUGUUGAUUGGUGUAAAUUUUGUUGAUUAGUAGUUUAUGUAUACUCUCUUCAAUCUCAUAACCAACAAAAUAAAAUUCAAUGUUGUUAAAUAUAAGUAAAAUCUUCUCUCAUUAUUACAUUCAAUUUUACUAUUCCAAAUAUUACUACUCUUUAUUUUUAUUUUUAUAGCCUCGUGUUUUUCAAGUUUCCAAAAUAAAAAGUAAUGGUAAAAAUAGAAAUAGUGUAUGGCUUAAAUGUAUUUAGAUGACUUCUUUAAAGAUUUUGUAAAUUUGCUUAUAUAUAAGAUUAGAUGUAGUAUUUGUCAAUUUUCAAUAAUGGAUAAGAAUAGUAUGCUGAACUCGUGCAAGGAAUAAAACAGACUUAACCACUGUCUCUACCCGACUUGAGCAUCAAUGUAAAAUUUGAGCAAAUAUAAUUGGAUUUGCAAACUACAACCUCAUCCUCGUGAGAUUGAGGUGGAGGUUGAAGUUUUGGAGGAGAGUGAAAGUUCUAAUUAUUCUUUUUUUUUUAAUUUCAAGAUGGGAAACUGAAAUAUAUAAGUAACGACAAAAAAUUCAUAAAAUUAACUACUCCAAAUAAACAAUUUUUCAUAAAUGUCAUUCGAGACAAUAAUCUAUAUGACCUUGACACCAUAGGUUUUAGCGUAGAUGAUCAUUGCUUGGUGAAAAUUUUGGAUCUAUAUGCUUGCAGGCAUAAAGUUAAUAGUUCUAUCGACAAACCUCAAAAGUAUUUUGAUGACGACAACACUAAUAAUUCCUAAAAUCGGUGGUAACAUCUUUCCAACUCCUUUAUGAUGGUGAUUAACUUGAAGAUACCUCAAGCCUCAUCAGGACGGAGACUCAAGGUUCCAUUAAAGUUUUUAUAUGAUCAAUGUAUCUGGCGAAGGAAUUUAAAAUCUUUAGAAUUAUGAAAGAAAGAAAGUGUGAAAGCUAGCCUAAUCGUAUCUGUUUGAGUAACCAGAGUCUUCUGAAAGUAAGAGAGUAUCUCCUAAGAUACUUAGGAAACACACAGAUAUGCACACACACACACAUGCACAUACACAUACACUUUCUCUCUCUCUCACACUCUUUUUUUUUAUCUCUCUCUCUCUCUCUCACACUCUCUCUCUCUCUCUCUCUCUCUCUCUCUCUGAGAAAGAGAGAGAGAGAGAGUCUCUCUCUCUCUCUCACACACACACACACACACACUCAUUUUAACUAUCAAAAUACCUAAAAAUGUUUUCAAGCCUUAGCCAAUUGAUUAGGAAAUUGUCAACUUCAUUAAAAGCAACUUUUGAACUAUCUAAUCGAUUAUAUCCUAAAGCUAAUCGGUUAGAAGAAGCGAAAUCAAUUAUAUAAUUAAUUAUGGUAGCGUAUUAAUGAUUAGUAACGACUCUAUAUCUAAACAUUCCAAAAUGGGCUAAAAUAAUCUAUUAUUUUUUUGUAUCUAAUCGAUUGGGCUUAUGGCCUAAUUAAUUAGAUUAGUUAAUUGGCUCAUGGAUUAUUUCCUUUUUAGCCAAUUAUUCUCUCUCCUCUUUAUUUCACACAAGAAUUCCAAAUUUCUCUAGUUCUUUGGAAUUUAUCUCUCUUUGUUGUCUCUCUAAAUAUUUUCUUUCACCAAAGUUACCUUAGUGCAUUGUGAGUGAAAACUAUCUGUGAGGAAUAAUUUAUACUAGUGUCGUUCCAUUGUUAUUACUCUCAAGAGUGAGAUAUUCUUGAGAAAUCGAGUUUAGUUAUUGAGAUUAACCAUUCUAAAAAUCUUUGUUUGGUUCUAGGACUUAGCCUGGAAAAUUUUAGUUUGGUUAUUGAGAUUAGCAUGGAAAAAUCUAAUUAGCUCGUUAGUUCAACUUGUGAAAAGACUUUCUUUUUGUUAGGGAUAAGUCACUGUAAAGUCUCUAGAUCUGUUUGUAUCAAAGGUUUGUGGAUAUAACCUGUAAAAGUUCAAGUUUAUGGUCAAAAUCUUAAGAAGAUCUCAUGGGGAUAAAAGUCGGUUAACUUUCGACCAAACCUGGAUAAAUCAUUGGUGUAAUCUCUCUAACCCUUAUCUUUUAUUUUUGUCCUUUAUUAUAUUAACUUUAAUUUUUGUUGCUUUUCACUAUAAUCUUAAUAUUAACGUAAUUUGACUUUUAAGUAACAAAAACUUAAGUUUAAUUACGAAUUUUUAAUACCACAAUUCACCUCACUCUUGUGCUUGAAGUCACUUGUUCAACAAGUGACAUCAGAUCCUAACUCAUAUUAAAGACUAAUCAUCCCAUGAGGAAAAACAACUUCAAUCUAUUCACUAAAUAAACCACCAUCCUUUAAUGGAUAAGGGUAUAUUUAUUGAAAAUGUAAAAUGGAGUUUUCCAUAUAAGAGAUGGAUUGUGGUAUUUAAAAAGUUGUGAAGGAAAGUUUAUGUUCAUACACAUCAUACUGAUGGUGUUGUAGUGAACAAAACUGGAAAUAAUUGGACCAAAGAUGAUAAAGAAAAUGUGUAGUGCAGUUUGAAAGCAAAAAUGGUCAUCACCGCCACUCUUGGUCUUGAUAAAAGCAAUGUGGGACAUCCUCCAAAUUACCCAUGAAGUAACUAUUUGUGUAAAGAGGGCAAGGUUGGGAUCAUUAACCUAUUAGUAUAAAAUUUUCAAGAUGAAACCUAAAGAGAACAUAAAUUAGAUGCAAACACGAUUUACACAUAUCAUGAGCCACAUGAGAACUCUAGGAAAAACAUUUUCAAAUGAAGAACUAGUUGUGAAAACUCUUAGAUGUUUAAACUGUAACUAGAAACCUACAUUGACUAUGAUUUGAGUAUCUAGGGAUCUAGAAAUUAUAGAUACACACACAUACAUACUCUGUUUGAGAAAUUACAAGAACACGAAAUAUAAUUAAACAGGCUUGCCAUAGAUGAGGAAGGAGAAAAGAAAAGCAAAAGUCUAACACUCAAAUUCGAAUAGUCCAACUCAGAUGGUGACAUGUAUCUUAUAGUAAAGAACUUAAAAAUAUUUCUAAAUCAUGAGAAACAACAAAAAUAGGAAGAUGAGGAAAAAAUUUCAUUUAUCCCCACUUGCUACAAGUGUGGAAAGAAAGGGCACAUUAGGCCAAAUUAUCCCUUAGCUAAAAGACAAAUAAAAAGAAAUCUAAGAAACUUUAGAAAAAGGCCAAGAAAGCUUACAUAGUAUGAGAACAUAACAAUAUGAAAUCCUUAGACAAUGAAGAGGAAAACUAACAUCUAUCUCAUGGAAAAUCAUCAAGAUGAUGAGGUAACUUCUUAUUUUUCCUAUCACGAUCUUUUUUGCAUUUGUAAGAAACUAACAAAAGAACCAAGAAAACUGAAACAAAUUGUGUGUAUCGAAGGAUAUUAUUUCUUCUCUUGAACUUAAAAAUAAAAAACCUUGAGAAAGAAAAUAAAUCCUUAGAGAAAUAUAAAAUGAUACAGUUCAAAACUUUUCCACUUUAAACGAAGAGGAUGAAUCUGAUAAGUGCAACAAAGGUGAUACUUUGAAAAAUGAAAUUUGCGAUUUUCAAAAGUCAUUUGUUAAGUUCACCAAAGGAAGAGAUAACUUGAAUCUUCAGUUGGGAAAUCAAAAAGUUUCUUACAAUAAAGUUGGUCUCGGUUAUGAACCCAAAAAUGAUAGUAGAACUUUAGUAACAUUUGUAUUGCUAAAUCCACCUCUCAUUGCAAAACCUUAAAAUACAACUAUUGUAACAAAGGUCAUAUGGCAUGUUCUGUUUUAUUAAUAAAUUUACGAGAGAAAAGAAGGACAUCCUCCUUCAUACUUUUAUAAAAAAAACAUUGUGAGCGCAAAAUAAAGAUUUCACUUGCUCUAUUAAAUGUUUAUGUCUCUAGUAUAAAGACAAAUGAAAAGAAUAUUUAUACAACUAACAAUAAAGGACCCAAGAUGACAUGGGUACCUAAAUUUAAGACCUAGGCUUUUAUUGCAGGAGUGCUUUACAGUCUUGAUUUUUAAGUAACAAAAACUUGAAUUAAAUUGCGAACUUUGAAUAGUACAAUUCACCCCCCUCUUAUGCUUGAAGUUACUUUUUCAACAACAACCUUUUUUAGAGAGGUGGCACGAGGAGACAUCAACUUGUAUAUCCCGAUUAAGGAGAUGAAAGUGAAACUAGAUGAAAUCUCAUGUUUUCUGCAUCUGCUACUCAAGAGUCGUAUUCUUGACUACACCAUAGUUACAAAGCAUAAAUAUUAUCUAAUGGUUGAUCUUCUCGAAGUAGAACCACAUAACAUUGAACAAUAAUUUUAUGAGGGCCCUGGAGGUAAUGCAUGGUUCAAAUUCCUGAAGGGUUAUUUAUGAAACACCUUGAAACUACAGGGGCUAGUGACUAGGCCGAUGAAGGUGUUAAGAAAUAGUUGUACAAGCAGUACAAGACUAGGAUAUAUCUCCCUUACUUGAUGGACUCAACCAUUUUCACAAAAAAAGGCCAGUUAUAGUCACAUGAUGUAUUUAGAGCAUUUCAUGGAUCUAUACAUGAUCACUGGCUAUACUAGAGGCACUGUUACAUUGCCUUACUUGUAUAGGGAGAGCUGGAUGUUGUGACCAAGUUUAAGAUGAUACAAUUAGUAAUAUAUAUGACAUUAUUUCAAGUAAAAUAUUCAUGUAGUUAUUUAAUUAGUUGUUAAAAGUAUUUUCUUCAAUAUUAUUUACUAAUUAGUAUACAUUGUUGCAUGCAUGAAUCUAUCAAUAUUUCCCCAAUAUUGACAAACAAAGAGUAUGACAAGACGGUGCCUCAUGCUAACCUUUUCAUUUCGCUUAAAAGAUAUCCAACUAGAAAAUUGUAUUGAGAACCUAUAUUUUGACUAUUAUCACAAGAUGUGUUCCUUGACUUUUACGAUACUCAACGUGCCAUAUACCUUUUCAAUGACAUUAGAUUCUAUUUUGGUUAGGUCAAAUGUUUACUAUGUAUGGUUAGGUACUUUCCAGAGGUAAUUUUGCCCUAGUUCAAUAAGAUGCAAACUAUUAUAAGACAUCAAUUUAUCUAUGUUAUACACACGACCACUCGAGAGUACGUUGAUCAUAGGUAUCUUGAGCGGCUAGACCACAUCUUCCUAAAUAUUUAGGAUAUUGCGACAUGAAACAUAAGAUAAUAUAUUAAGAUAUCACUUCCUUACCUGAUCCCCAUACCUGAGGGAAAAUCUUUGGUACUAAUUGAGAAUGAAUCACUUGAAGAGGAGGCAAAAAAAGAGGAUCACAAUAGUCGGGUCCCUAUUUGCACAUAAACUUGAGACAUGACUUUUGAAUUAUUAUCUCAUGGGACUAUUAAGUUGGGUACUAAAGUUUACGAUGUUGUCUAGAGCAUUCAAAUGAAGGUUAAAAAUUCCUUGUGACACAAGAGAUUUAGGAGGAAUGAAAAUAAUUCUUGUGUGAAAGGUUUCAAAGCAAGGAUUCUCACAAGGAUGGCUAAUAUAAAUGUAAGUUACAUAUUUAUCACUAUCAUAUCCACACAUUUAUUUGCUUACUUAGACACGAAGUAAUACAAGAAACUUUUAAUUUAUGCUUAAUUAAGAAUUUUCUUAUGUUACUUCGUUCUAAGUAAGCAAAUAUCACAGAGGUAUUAUAUACGAAAGAAAUUUUUAAUUAAACAUAAAUUAAAAAUUUCUUGUGUUACUUCGUGUCUAGUAACUUACUUACUAGACUAUUGGUGGUUUCACUAGUGACUUGCUUCUAGUGUUUAAAAAGUAAUAAAAACUAAUUUCCACAUCAUCAUAAAAGUAUUUUGAAAAAAAGUCACUUUUGAAUACUCUCAAUUUUUAAAAGAAACUAUUCCAAAUAUUCAAAUUGGGAACACCUUUUUUUUAUAAGCAAAAUUAUACCCCUGAAUUAAAUUUGAAGUUUCUCAAUCAUCCUCUAAAAUAUGGAGGUAUACUUUAGAAGAAAACAGCAAAAACUUAAAAGGAGGUGUGGAAAUGAAUUUUAUGCAUACCGAAAGCAAGUCCCUUUUUUUUAACAGGGGCAUGAGGCCCAACAAAUACGAGUUAUUGUCAUUCAAAAAAAAUAAUGUAGAAGUGGAAAUAGUUGCAAGGAAAAGUGCUCGGGUCCCCGCCGCAGCAGGUUAACGAACGGUGGCAACUGCAACUGCAACUACAAAUCUGAUAUAAACCCUACCAUCACCAUGUCCAACGACUCUUUGUUCGCCGGCAUUCGUUUUGACAGAAAGAAAUUCGGCGCAGAUAUUGCCAGGUUUCAGGUACCAUUUCAAUCUCUCUUUAACUAAACGCCGCUGAAAGUGAAUUCAAGAAAUUCCAACCAAUUUUUUUGACCUAAAUAUUCAUCACUGCUCAAUUUUCAACCAUUAAAAUUCGGAGCAGUUUUCUCUUAUGUACCUUUGUCAAUCAUAGUAGCGUGAUAUUUUGUAUGCAUAUAGAACUUAACAACGGCUACUAGCUAAUUUGAUAAACUGUACAUCCUCAGAAAGCGUCCUUAUGGGAUACAUGGAUUUCUGAUAAGACUAUUUUUAGCAAUUUUGGAAGUCUUUAAAAGAGGACUUUGAUUAUAUAAUCAAGUUCGCCAUUCAUGAAAAUGAUGAUACUGCACGCUGUAUUCUUAAUAUGAUGUCCAUUAGAGCAGAUACUAGAGCUAAGCACAAAGAAAUCAAAUGAAGCUUGUAAUGGAAAGAAUCUUCCCUGCAUGGUUUGAAAGUUACAAGUUCACAAAGAGACGGACUUCUUUUUUGGAGGAUUUCAGAUGUUUUUUUAUGUUUUUUUUAUUUUAAUCUUUUAGUUUUUUAAAAGUAAGUCGUGCACGAGAGAGAUGGUUUCAAACAUGUUUAUGCAGCAAGGCUUGAUAAAAUGUAGUCAUUCUCUUGCUAUUGAGAAAAACCCAAGUCCCAUAUGAUAAAGAGAGUCUGAAACGCGGUUAUAAAGAGGGACAACCCCUACAUUACUAGUCGGUUUUGUUAGGAUGAGUUAAAUCCAAUAUAAAAACUUACUAUGAUAUUAGAGCCUAUCGAUUUGGGCCACCUGCCAUUUAAUCCAUACAUCAAGCUCAAUAGUUAUGGGUGUGACUUGUGAGGGAGUGUAUUGGUAAAAACCCUAGUCCCACAUAAAAAUAAAGAAAAUGUUUGAAAUGAGUUUGUAAAGAGUGACAUCUCUCACCUUAAAAAUCAGUUUGUAAGGAUGGGUUACACCCAACAUAAAAAACCUAAUGCUUACUUAUUUCAUUUCUUAAUCUAUGCGAAACACUGAUAAUAGUUAUUUCUUUAAAAAAAGAAAAAAAAUGCCGAUACUAGUUUGGCGAAGAUUCAGAGUGUGACAGAAGAUGAAGAAAUCAAGGAAACAAUAGAAGCUGUGUCUGCAAAGAAAAGGAAGCGCAAGAAAACCUCUUCUGGUAUUCUCAUUCUCAUGUUUUAACACUCUAUGUCACAUAUCACUUGUAUUAAUUGUUCUUUAUCUCACUUUUGCUUUGUUUCUAUGACAAAUAAAAGAAGCUGUUGAUGGAUUCAGUGUGUUCCGAAGUUCAACAUCGAAGUCAAGCGAAAAAGUCCAAGCCGAUGAUGAUGAGUCCAUUCGGCUGAAGAAAGAAAAAAAUAAGCAACUCGAGGUUCAGGCCCUUUAUGUUUUGUGCAAUAUAUAGAACUCUCCGUGUUCUUAAGUUUGUGCAAUAAUUUUCUGACCAUUCACUUUCAUUUUUCAUCUUUAUUUAGCGCGAUGCUAUCUUUAGGAAGAGUCAUAACAUUCAUGUGUCCGGUUACAAUGUGCCGUCCCCACUUCAAAGCUUUGAUGAGUUGAAAACAAGGUAAUUUUCUGUUAAUAUUAUUAUUCUGGAAUCUGGUUGUUACAUAUUCUGCUUAUUAUUAUUAUUAUUAUAUAUUUACAUGAACAUGGCAUUGCUGGUUCAGAAUCUUAAAAUGAACUGUUUAUUAUAGUUAUAAAUGUCCGUCCUAUUUAUUGCGGAAUCUGGCAGAACUUGGAUUCAGAGAACCAACACCAAUCCAACAGCAGGCUAUUCCAGUACUCUUACAGGUACGGAUCACAUUGGACAUUAUGUUAUUCGAAAAUCAUUGAUGUAGUUUGAUCUUGGUUUUGAUUCGUGCAAGCUUGAUAUUGUUUGCAAGAGAGAUAGUAUCACAAUAUUGUUUUUACUGAUAUUUUCCUUCACUAAUAUGAGAUAGGAUCGUGAAUGCUUUGCCUGUGCCCCAACCGGCUCUGGAAAAACCCUUGCAUUUGUGUGUCCCAUGCUCAUGAAGCUCAAGGUAUUGCUUAUAUUUUGUUGUCUUUUGCUUCCAACAUCCUGGGUCAUGGGUUCCAAUAAUCAAAUGUGUUUAUAGGCUCAUUCAAAAGGUGGCGUUCGAGCUGUUAUCAUCUGUCAUAGCCGUGAAUUAUCUGGUCAAACAUACCGAGAAUGCAAAAAGUUUGCCAAAGGGGAAAAGUUUCGUAUCAAGUUAAUGACAAAACAUCUUUUAGAAGGUUCUGAUUUUUCAAAUUUUCCUUGUGACAUACUUAUAUCCACGCCCUUUCGAUUACGCUUGGCUACCCAGAGGAAAAAGCUUGAUCUCAGCAGGUGUGUAAUAAUAAAAAAAUCUGGCUUAUUGAUUUAAUCUUAUUACUCUCUAAAAAAUAAUCAAGUAAAUCAUUACAUGUAUAUUAGUCCAUAGGGAUUACUUUAAAUUCCUGUGAUGAUGGUCUACAGCUGCUCCUCUAUGCCACUUAUGCUGUAGUUUAAAUAUCUCAUAUUGAGCUAUACUUUGCUUUGUCCUUUCUCGACCAAUUGCAUGCUAAAUCGUGAAAUUAUCUCCUGGGUUGGUACUUUCUUUUUGCUGUCAUUCUUCAUUCCUUCUGCUAAAAUACAAUAUCAUUGAGGAACAUUUUUCCUGUUAUUCUUCAUUCUAUUUGCGUUUACGUUUCUUUUUAUCUGGCCCUGUGGAAUUAAUGAAGUAGACACGAGUAACCAGUUGAUCAUUCAGUUGACUCAAACCAUAAACCCAACAUGGAAAUCUAAGUUGUUUCAAAGUUUACCACCCCAGGAGAAAGUAAUUAAGUCUAAACACAUUCCAAAGUGUUUAUUGAGAAGCAAGCAAUUGCUAAAUCCAUAUGAAUAAUCGGUUGGAGUCCAUUAUUGCUGUCAAAUAUCUGCCAUGUUGGCGCCAUGGCGGAUUGCAGUGUUUUUUUUUUGACAAUUGUCAUGGCCAAUUUGUGAAGAACGGUGGUGCCAUGACCUUUUAUGGUGUACUUUUGGCUUUCUGCCAUGGUCUUCCAUCCAUUUGCCAUCGAUAACACUGGAGCCCAUUGAACAUGAAAACAAACACACGUUCAGCAGCAUAAUUAUUUCUAAAGAUUAUGGUUUCAUAUAAGAUGGGAGAAUCAAAUAUCUGUUGUAUAUUGGUAAAACAAAUUCAGUGUUUGUUUGCCUCUCAGUUGGCUGUGAUGUUAUUUAAUGAUAAAUUUGAUUGGGUACAACAAAUUGUGGCAUGGUCCAACCCUAGUUGGUGUCGGCUGUUGUAAUGUAAAACCUUAACUACUUAAAUGGUUCAUGCAUUUUCAAAUUUUGCUUGCUGCUUUUAGCUGUAUUCAAUGUUGUGUCUGCAAAGACAGUAGUAAUAAACACUAGACAUGCAAUGUGAUUACCAAAUAGGCGUGUUGAUGUUUUUUUUCUUUCAACUCUUUUGGUUGCUGCAGAGUUGAGUAUCUUGUCCUUGAUGAGUCUGAUAAGCUAUUUGAGCCUGGAAUGUUCAAGCAGAUUGAUGCUAUUAUCAAAGCAUGCACAAAUCCCUCAAUAGUACGCUCUCUAUUCAGUGCUACUUUACCUGAUUUUAUUGAAGAUAAAGCUCGAGAACUUAUGCAUGAUGCUGUUCGCGUAAUCGUUGGCAGGAAGUAAGUUCAAUAAAAAAUUUACAAUAGAACAUUAUGCUCAUGUGCAUUACUUUAACUCUUCACCCUAUUGUAAAAGAUAACAUCUAAUACUUUUAUGGGAAUCAGGAAUAUGGCUUCUGAAACAAUUAAGCAGAGGUUGGUUUUUACUGGAAGUGAAGAAGGAAAACUUAUAGCAAUUCGGCAGAGUUUUGCAGAGGUAUGAAACUAAAAUGAAUGCUUUAGAUAAAAGGCAUUAUUAGUCAGUUUGUUUUUCUUCUGCUUCAAUAUGUUUUGUCUCACAGGUCACAACUUAACCUUGGUCAGUGUGGGUCUUAUUGAAAAGUAAUUAGAAACCUCAUUACAAUUUAUCGUUAAUAUGUAUUUCCUGUUGUUAAUCUGCCUAGUUAAGAGAAACUAUUAAUAAAGAUUUUGGAGAUUAAUGAGUUGGAUAUAAAUAUGAUAUAUGAUAAAAUAUUAUGACAUUGUUUGAUCCAUGUAGCCGACUCCAAAUAGUGAGAUAAGGCUUUGUUGUUGAUUGUAUGUUGCAUGCAUAUAGUUUAAUAUUUACCUUGUUUCAGUUUGGUGUUAAAUAAUGUAUUGUGAGUGUAAAUAUGUAACGACUUGGAACACUUGUUAUUGUAACAUCUACCUUUGAAACUAGCGGAAAGAACAUAAUAUUGCAACACUUGUUUGCUCACUCCUAAUAUAUCAGUUGCUUGCAUUUGUUGACUUUGUUUUUUUUUGCUUUCCAUAUCUCGAAGAGUCUAAAUCCUCCAGUAUUGGUCUUUGUCCAAAGCAAGGAGCGAGCCAAGGAGCUGUAUGGUGAACUUGCAUUCGACAAUAUUAGAGUUGAUGUCAUCCAUUCUGAUUUGUCUCAAGAAGAGGUAGUUCUCAAUCCCUUUGAACAAAAUAAGCUUCUUGUUGGAAAGUAUGAAGGCACUCUGAAACGUUUUUCCCUUCAGCCAAAAAAUGCAAAAAGAAAAAAGAAAACCCAUGAAUUAUAUGACCAAGAUCUCUGGCCCAUACUAUUUAUAUGGUGAAGAUGUCAAAUUAUAGUAUUCCUUGUUUGUGCAAUUGCUUUUGUACUUGACUAAUCUGCUCAUCAUUACUGAACAAGACAAACCUGUUUUUAAUAUACAAUUCUGUUUAACUUUUAAUCUCUGAUCAUCAGCAAUGGGUACUCCAUUAUGAAAGCGCAUAUUUGUUAAGUUAGCUGUAGCCUGUAACUAUGAUGUGAUUUUUUUAAUCUCUUGAAUUCUAUACAGCGAGAAAACGCAGUUGACAACUUCAGAGCUUGUAAAACAUGGGUUUUGAUUGCCACUGAUGUGGUUGCUCGAGGAAUGGAUUUCAAAGGCAUUAACUGCGUGAUCAAUUAUGAUUUCCCAGAUUCUGCAUCGGCAUAUAUCCACAGAAUUGGUUAGUGUCACGACAUGAACAUUUUUUUUUUAAUAUUUAAGAAGUGUUUAGAGGGGCUGUGAUUUGUAAUAUUCACUCACUGAGCCUUUUCUUUAUUAUAUAUUCUUUGAUACAUCAAUUUUUAAUAAUGAUUUGAAUCUACUUUUUGCUAAAUAUAAAUGUUGAUAUUUCAAUAGGUCGAUCUGGUAGAGCAGGGAGGAGUGGCGAAGCAAUUACAUUUUACACAGAAGAGGAUAUUCCAUUCUUGAAGAACGUAGCUAAUCUAAUGGCAUCCUCAGGCUGUGAAGUUCCAUCCUGGUUGACGGAGUUGCAGAAAAAGAAGUGGAGGAAGCACCGACCCAAAAGAGAUUCUAUCUCAACUAAACCUGACAAAGUUGCAAAAAAACAAGUGACAGAAAAAGCAGUGGAGGAAGCACCGGCCGAAAAAGAUUCUAUCUAGACUAAACCAGAUCUUUAAGUCUAUUACAACAACAAAUUGGAACAAGUUUUUGACCUGUGAAAUUUCUUGAAGUGUUUAUUUCUUGAAAGACCAUGCAACAGUGUUAAUUUAUAAUCCUCCCUCUCCAAAAAUGAUGAAAAGGGGGUGACUGGAUGGUGUGCGGGGAAUGUUGUCUAAUGCUUAUAUAAGUUCCAACCAUGAUAUAAUCAUAUACAUUACCUUAGUGCCAGUUGCAACACCCAUAAAUGGGAAUUUUUGGGCCUUCCUUUGUACUGAACAAGCAAUUUUGUUGAUCCUAAAAUGUCUGAUUUGAUAUACGUUGAAACAACAUUUCAUUCAAUAGAUUUUUAUUGUGUGAUGGCUUUCUACACAGUAUGUUAGUAAUUCUUCCAAUGCCAAGGCAUGCACAUAAUACAUGCAAUUCUGUAGUAUAUGUCAAUUAUUUAAACAUUUUAUGUGGGCUAAGUCUCUUAACAUAAUUUAAGGAUUUAAUUUGUUCCAUUAUUUAAUAAGAGUAAAAAGUUUUACAUUGUCGAUUCAUCACCAUCAUCCGUUUGUAUUAUUUUGUAGGUUUUUAAGAUAAAAGUCAAAUUUGGUUCAAUAUCCAACGUCUAUAAUUAAUUGAUGGUGUAAAAUUCUUUUAUACUGUCAGUGUAUUUCAAUUAAAUUCAUUUAAUAAAUGUUAUUUUUUAAUCAUUUAAAAACUAUUUCAUGACUUAUGUGAAUGACAUUAUCUCAACAUGAAAGAAGUGGAGGAAAAAAUAGUGUUCGUAAAUGUUUUUUUUUUGUAGAUUAGCGAAAACCUUUGUAUCUUUUUAGAAUAACUUCAAAAUCAUAUCCUUUUAGAUUAAUCAAUAGUGAAUCGAGAUUUUGAUUUUGAUAUGACUUGGAGUCCUUGUUGGUUUUUUAUUUCUUUAUUCGGUGAUCUAUGAUCUAUUGAUGGUGGGUGUAUUAACUUAAGAUCUAACUUGCUACUUUUUAGUUUGGAGCUCGAAUAAACAGUUUUUCCUUUGGUUCUGUCAUGUCUUAAUGUUUCAUUAGUUUUUCUUCACCUGUUUGUAUUAUAUAUUAAUAUAUAUAUAUAAUAUAUAUAUAUAUAUAUAUAUAUAUAUAUAUAUAUAUAUAUAUAUAUAUAUAUAUAUAUAUAUAUAUAUAUAUAUAUAUAUAUAUAUAUAUAUAUAUUAUAUAUAUAUAUAUAUAUAUAUAUCAAUAUUAUUUUAUUCGGCUUAUGGUACAGCUUGUGCUAUUUGAUUUUCUUUUAUAUUUUGUGUUGAGUAUGACUUAUCAUGUAGAAACUCUAAACAGGUCUUUGGACCACCUGUUUGUUGGGGUAACUUAGGAUUAAAGUUUAGGUUUAGGGGUAUUUCACUUGUAACACUGUAACCCUUAAUUCAUAAGACAAAAGUCAAUGAUAGAAUGUGAUGAAAGUAUUGAUCGAAAUUGCGUUAAAAAAGAUCAAUCAUGUUCAUUGUCUUUUACAUUCGUUUCUCUUUAAUCCUCUAUGUUGGUUGUUGUUCUAAUAGUUGGUAACUCUAGUGUGAAAUUCGAGGUAACAAGGUUUGACGAGACAAAUAAUUUUGGAUUAUGGCAAAUGAGGGUUAAGGAUCAAUUGACUCAUCAAAGUUUAUAGAAAGUGUUGCAUGAGACAAAAUCGAACGACAUGGAGGAUACCGACUGGAUAGAGAUGAAAAACAAGGUUGCGAGAUUGAUUCACAUAUGUGUUUCAGAUGAGGUGAUGUAACAUAUCCUGGAGCUGACGACGCUGGAGGAGGUUUAAGACAAACUGGAAAGUUAGUAUAUGAAAAAGACGUUGACGAACAAAUUACUCCCUAAACAUCGACUAUACAGUCCGAAGAUGCAAGAAGAACCUGAUUUGCAACAACAUGGCAAUGCCUUCAAUAACAUAAUCACCGAUUUGGUGAGGCUUUGGAUGAAAAUUAAUGAAGAUGAUAAGGCAAUUAUCUUUCUCUGCUCGUUACUAGGUUCUUAUAACCACUUGGUGACCUAUGGAAAAGAAAAUAUAAGUCUUGGUGUGAUUACUGCUAUUUUUUUUGUCUCAUUCUCAAAAGAGACAAAGUGUAGAUGAAUGAACUUAAGGCGGAGAUUUGUAUGUGAAAGGGAGUCAAAAUCGUGUGCAGAAUAAGAGUAAUGGAGGUUCUGGAAAAAAGAUGUAUAAAUCUCGGAAUCGGAAAACAACUUAGUGUUAUAGUUGUAAACAUAUUGGGCAUUGGAAGAGAGAUUGUCCAAACAGAAAGCAAGCCUCAUCUAGUUUUGCAAAUGUAGUCCAAAUAGAUGACUUUGGUAGUGAAGCAAAUAUACAGUGUAUUUCAUCCAACCAAUGCACAUAUGUGUGGAUUCUUGACUCUGGUUGUUGUUACUACAUGACACUGCAUCGAGAAUGGUUCACUACAUCCCGGUCAGGUAGUUUUUUUUUUUUAUCAAGUGAUGAUAAAGCAUGUAUUAUCACCAGAAUGGGACAAAUUAAAAUUUCCAUGGACAAUGGUGGCGUUCAACAUUGUACGAACUCAAAUGUAUCUUAGAAUUAAGGAGGAAAUUGAUUUCCCUAGGUACUCCACAGACAAAUGGUUUUUCUUACAAGUAUGAUGAAGAUAGCCACAUUAUGAAAGUUAGCAAGGGUGAAUUGAAUGUGAUGAGAGCAAAGAGGACUGCAAGUAACAUCUACAAACUAUUGGGGAAGAGGUUUGUAGGUGAUGUUGCAUUAGUUGAGUCUAAUAAUGAUGCAACCAAACUCUGGCAUAUGCGUCUGGUUCAUCUCCAUGAGUGUGGGAUGAUGGAACUUCAUAAGAGGAAUCUAUUGAAGGGUGUUUGUAGUUGUAAGAUGGAAUUGUGCAAGUAUUGUAUACUUGAGAAAUAUUGUAGUUUUUGGUUCAAGACUAUAAACAAUGAAUUUUAGACUAUGUGCAUUAAAAUGUGUGGGGUCCUACCAAAGAGGUUUCCAUGGAUGGUUCCAGGUAUUUUGUGAGUUUCACAAAUGCUUUUUCUCGCAAGGUUUGGGUGUAUUUCUUGAAAUAUAAAGAUGAAGUCUUUACCAAAUUCAAGUUGUGGAAGACAGAGGUAGAAAAUAAAAUAGGAAGAAAAAUCAAGUAUUUAUGAUCAGAUAAUCAAACAUAUUACGCUGACUUGAAAUUCAAGAGGUUAUGUGAAGAACAUUAUAUUCAAAGAUAUUUAUCAGUUUGCAAGUCACCACAACAAAACUGUAUUUAAAGAUAUGGGUUUGAAUGGUCGGGGGGAGGGGGGGGGGGGGGGGGGGGGGUGGGGGGGGGGGGGGGCUUUGUUCCCAAAAAGACCGUUACAAAAAAUUCUUUUAUAAAAUUAGAGUUUUAAAAAAUGCUUGGCAUAGAGAAAGUUUUCGUAUAAAAGAUGUGAUUGGAUUGAUGAUAUAAUACAUACUUAUUACCAACAAAAAAUAAAGAAGCAAAAGAAUAGUAGAAGAGAAUACUAAAAUGUACUCGAUGUUUUGAUUGAACUAAGUUCAUUUUACACGAGAUUUGUAAACCAAAUUUUCUCAAAUGAAUAAGGAUUAUAUAAUCACAGUUUUCACUUUAUUCAAAAGUAAGAAUGUUUAGGAACUUGAUCUAACACAUGCCUAAUUUUUAUACACAAAAUCUCUAUGCACGCGGUAAAAUCUAUCAGCAUGCGAUUUCUAAGAGAAACAAUUAACCUAAACAUACAAUACUAAACGAAAUAUAAAAGUGCGAGAGAGGUAAAGAUAGUACGCCAUAUUUAGAGUGUUUCAGCGUUUCGUCAUCGUUUGAGCUUAAUCCACUCUCCAAUGCUUCCCAUUGAAAGUUUGUUGUUGCUCCACUAUGACUUUGACAAUUUUCACACAGAGUAUUUUAAUACAAUAAUGAUUCAAAUCAUGCUGAAAAUACACGAUCUUUAGUCUAAAUCUCUCUUUGACUAUAAACAACGUCUAAAAUCGGUUCCUACAAUUUUUACUUGAUCUCGACUUCUUCCUUCCAAACUCAAGAAUUCUCCUCCAAACGUCCGUUUUGCAUCGACCUUUACUCAGUCCUACCAGUUCCUUGACUUGUCUGAAGGUGAUAGAAACUCCAACUCCGUCUGUAGUAGCUUCCACACAGCUUUAUCGAAGCAAUCUUGAAGAAAAUAAACUCGUUCUUUUUCACAGUUGGAUUGCCGAUCUCAGACAGUCAGAAUUGAGUUUUUACCUUGACUUGUUUUUCCUAGGUAAAAUUGAAACGUAAAAUCGUAGAGUUUAUCUCAUUAAAAUAAUAUUAAAUUCACACACACACACACACACAUACACACACGCGUGCGCGUGCAUGCAUGGACACGUAUACGCGCGCGUACACGCACACAUGCACAUAUGCUCACACAUGCAUGUAACAUGAGCACACACGCACACACACACACACACACACAUACACACACACACACACACACACACACACACACACACACACUUGCACACACUCGACACACACACACAUACAUACAAACACACACCCACACACAUAAGCACAUACACACACACACACAUGCAUGCUUGCACGCACGCACGCGGGCGCGCGCACACACACACACACACACACACACACAAACGCACGGUAAAUGCACACACACACACAAACGCACACGUAAAUGCACACGUGCACACACACGCACGUGCACACACACAAUGAGAUUUAUCAUGUCAGAACCAAGCAUAUUGAAUGAUGUGAGUAUGAGUGUUCAUGGAUGUGGGUCAACCCAUGAACCUGUUGACCCAAACCUAACCAACCCAUAAAUUAUCCGAACUUAUUCAUUUACGAGUAUACCCAAUCCAAUCCUUAACAACCCGUAUAAUUUUGGUUCGGGUAUCGGGUUUGAGUUUUGCAACCCGUUGACCCAACCCAUUGAUGUGACUUUAAUAAUUUCUUAUUAUUUAUUUAUUAUAUUAAAUAAAAAUAUAAAAUUAAUAUCAAACUAAUAACCAUAAUUUUUCCAUUUUUUUUAUUCUCCACCAAUAAUACUACUAGACGAAUGAGUUUACGUAAUUCUAAGAUUAAAUGUUGUUUCUUAUUUUCUUUUGUAUCAUUUGCAACUUAUGUAUUUUAUGGAAAUAAUGUGUCUUUUUGAACUUUAUAAUAUUAUCAAGUGUUAUGUCGUGUUGAUGAAUUUUAUUAGAUCUUAUAUGACAUGUUUUAUCUAAUUUGAGUGUUAUAAAUGAGUAUGAUUGUAUUGAGUCGCGUUACAUUUUUUUAAACCGACAAAAAGAGUCAUAAAAAUUAUAUUUUUUCUUUGAAACACAACCUGCGAACCCAACUCAACCCAACCCAUAAAUGAACGGGUCGAUUCAGGUCAGUUUUGACAAUGAAAUUGCGAGUUUAGCGAUGGACCCAAUUCAUUGAAAUUUGAAUGAGUUGGAUAAUGGUAUAUGUCAAAUCUGGUCUAACCCAACCCGUGUACACCCCUAGAUGUGACAUUUCAAAAGACCAAAAAGUAACUUACAUAUAGACAAGUAUUACUUGAAAAAGUUCAUACUUCAGAUUAUGUAACUGAUAUGUUGAACAAAUCCGUCAUUAGUGACAAAUUCAAGCAUUGUUUAAGCUUGUUACACGUUUCUCAGUGUUAAGUAGGAGGUGUAUCUCCAUAGUUUUCAAGAUGUGAUCGCCAUGCUAUAAGUCCGUAUAGGGGUUUGACAUUUACUAAGAUGAAGAUUUUGAGAAAGUCUCGUAUUAUGUAAAACCUUCAAACGAGUCAUAGAUCCAAUAGUUUGUUGUGGGUAUCUAUGGAAUAUAUAUAUAUAUAUAUAUAUAUAUAUAUAUAUAAUAUAUAUAAUAUAUACUAUAUAUAUAUAUAUUAUUAUAUAUAUAUAAUUUAUAUAUAUAUUAUAUAUAUAUAUAAUAUAUAUAUAUAUAUAUAUUAUUAUAUAUAUAAGUUUAGAAGUACAAAAGUAUUAUUGUAAACUGAAAAUAAUAUUAUAUAUAUGAUUUGUAUCAAUGUAACCCUACUUCAUAAGACACAAAUUAAAAGAAUUAUAAUUGUUCUAUAGUCACAAAAGUGUACACCAUUGAUCAUACCGUAUUAACAAAGAUUAGUCGUAUUUAUUGUCUUUUAUUUCCGUUUUCAUAUUGGUUGUUAUUCUUUGUUGGGGUCUUUUACCCUUUAUAUUUAAUAUAUUAUCUUGCCUUUAAAAAAUAGUAUACAAACUAAUUUGGGAAAGUAUCUAAAUCAUUAGCAACCACUAUCUAAAAAAAUUGUUUUCACAUAUUAAGAAAUUUAGGGAAGUUUAAUGAAUUUUCUCGACUUUUUUGUUGUUGUUGUAAGAUAUAAGUUAAAUUUAUUAAAUUAUCAUUUUUUAUAUUUAGAGAUUUAACUAUCCGUAUUAGAUGUUUUGAAUAAAAUGAAAUGUAUAUUAGAAAUAAUAUCAUUAAAUAGUGUAGGCCUUAAAACCUUUUUAAUAGUUGGGAAAGAUCAGAUAGCUAAACUUAAAUGCCUAUUAAUCAAAUCACAUAAAGGAGGAAAAACACCAAAUACUAUUACUAAAACAUAAAAUUGUAAAAGAAACAUUUUAGUGUUAACAAUAUUAUCAACCCUCGGGGUUAGUCAUCACAAAUUUCUUGUAGUGCUUCGUCAAAACUAUCUUGGGUUUCUAUAUAGUUUCUGUAUUAAAUUCUCAGAUGUGAAAUACAUAUUUUGAAGGUAACAAUUGUACCAUAAACAGCUGCAAAUGACAGAUGAAAUUAAUUUAACUGAAUAUAACUUUGGAUCAAACUUUUUGUUAUAAAAAGCUGUAGCUCCAAUAUUAUGAAGCACAAACAUUUGAAAUACGACGCUGCUGACACGUUAACACAAGUAAUAAUUUUUAAAAAAUGAAUAAAUUAAGCGUAAUCACAAAUAUAGGUGUUGGAUUCGGAUACAGACGCUGACACAUACACACAUUUUUUCCCGAGGUGUCAGUGCUAUAUAACUAUAAUCCAACUACAAAUUUUCAACUUUUUAACUACCAAAUGCUAAUCUCUAACCUCUGGCAAAGAUCAUAGCCAUCAUCUAGCACCUGCAGCCAUAACUCUUCAAGCAUUGUGUAAAUGUUGCUCCUUUGUGGAUGUGAGCUAUCUUCAGAGAAGAAUAUAUGGAUCUUAUCCUUAACUUCUAUCCAGCUUUGACCAGGUACCUUUUGUACACCCAUUUGUUUCAUUAGGUUCCUUAGUGUAGCAACAUCUUCCCAAUUACCAGCAGAAGCAUGUAUGUUAGAAAGCAUCACCAUUGCCGCAGAGUUGGAAGGAUCGAGUUUUAGUAUAUUUUCUGCAGCUCUCUCUGCAAUGUCAACUUUAUUAUUAUGAGUUUUACAAGCAGCAAGUAGAGUUUUCCAAGUAGUAAUGUCAGGGUCAAAUUCUGAUUUCUGAAUAAAAGUCUCUGCUUCAUGGAAGCAUCCGGCACGAGCAAGCAAAUCAACCAUGCAAGAGAAGUGUUCUCUUGUCGGUGGAAUUCUGUAUUCUGUUUCCAUGGAUUUAUAUAAACGCCAGCCUUCCUCCACUAAUCCAAUGUGACUGCACGCGCUGAGAGCCCCGAGAUAUGUGACCUCGUUAGGCCGAACGCCAAGAUUUGUCAUAACUUUAAAGAGAUUAAGAGCUUCAUGUCCAAGUCCAAACUGAGCAUAACCAACAAUUAAACUACUCCAUGAGACAAUAUUUGGGCUCUGCGUUGAAUCAAAAACGUCGCGAGCAUGUUUAAGUGAUCCACAUUUUGCAUACAUGUCAAUCAAUCCAUUGCACACAGAAACAUCAAGCACUAGCCCACUUUUAAUACUAUAGCAAUGCACUUGAUUUCCGACACCUAAAGAUGUCAGCUCAGCACAGGUUCCUAAUAGAGUAGUUAUGGUGAUACUGUCAGGCUUAUUUUCAGAAUAAAGCAUUUGUUUAAAUAAUCUGAAAGUCUCUCCUUCUUGCUUGUGCUGCAAGCAUGCUGAAAGAAUUGCAUUCCAAGAAACUAAGUUGGCAUUUCCGCUUACAUCUCUGAAAACAUUUAAUGCAUCAUAUAGAUUUGAGCACUUUGUGUACAUGGUUAACAAGGAGUUGCAUACCGAUACUUCCUUAUCGAGACCGAUUUUGACAAUGUAAGAAUGAAUGUGCAUACCCUGGUUAGAUGCUGUGGGGCUCCCACAAGCGCAAAGUAAGGAAAUAAAAGUAACGUUAUCUGGGAUCAGUCCUGUUUGCAUCAUCCGAUGGAAAAAAUCUAUGGCUUCAUUAGCAUCACCAUUGUCAGCAAAUGCUGCAAUAAUUGCAUUCCAUGACACUAUAUCAGGGCUUUUAAUCUGAUAGAAUGCCGUCUUUGCCGAAGGUAAAAAUCCGAAUUUUGCAUACAUGUCACAAAGGGAGCAUCCAGCGAAAACGUUCCUCCCUAAACCGAAUUUAGCGCACAUUCCAUGUACUUGCUUUCCAUACUCUAGUUCAAGAAGGUUGCUGCAAGCACUGAAAACACUGCCAAAUAUGAACUCAUUUGGCUGAUAAACUCCCUGCCUGAGCAUAUCUCGGAAAAUAUAUAAAGCUUCUAUCCUAUAACCUUGUUGAGUAUAUCCCGUAAUCAUGGAACCCCAAGAAAUUAAAUCCUUUGUAGAAAUCGUUGUAAAUACAUUUGACGCAUGUGUGAUUUGUCCGAAAUUUGUGUACAUUGAAAUAAGAGCAUUUAGGGAGAUCAAGUGAUGACCAAACCAUGAUUUAAUGACAUGAGCAUGCAGUUGCCUACCUAAACCUAUAUCCCCGGCAAUGUAGCAAGCCUUAAUUAUGCUUCCAAAGGUUAACUGGUCCGGAAAUUGACCCGAUUGCAUCAUUUGAAUAUACAUGAUGAUGGCAUCGUUCUCUUGACUGUUCUGUGAGUAUCCGGAGAUCAGUGAAGUCCAAGAGACCACAUUUCGUAGCUGCAUUGUGUCAAAAACUUUUCUAGCAUCAUUCAUAGAACCACAUUUUCCAUACAUGUUAAUAAUAUGAUUUUGGAGAAUCAUGCUUGGUUGGCAGCUGGAUUUUGAAAUGUGAUCAUGGAUUUUCUUUGCAUAUUCAAGUGAUCUAGAGUUGGCGCAAGCCAAAACUAAACUCGUAUACGUGCUUGGUUCAAAAUGGAUAUUCGGAUUCUUUAGAUGAAAAUCAAACACUUCCAGCGCUUCUUUGUAAUGCUGUUGCUUACACAACAAUAUUAUGUAACUAUUAGUCGGUAGCUCUGUACUUAGAUUAGAGACAGUUGCUGGUUGCAGAACAGGUCUUACAUGAUUAUGCAUACAUCGAAUGAAGCUUCGAAUUGUCAUAGACAUGGAUGGGGUUUUUGAAAACUAGAAAAAGUAAAACUACUGUUAUUUGACGACAACGGAAGAAACCUUAAAGGGCAAGAUGGUUUCAGGACAGUGAAGUGGUUACAAAUGAGGGUUUCUGAUUCUGACUAAGGAUAUAACAAAAAACAGUAGUAGGAUGAUCAGAAAGUGAGUGUUUCCAAUGUAAAUAUAUGAAAUAUUAACAUGAACCAUGUAACUAAAUAUGCUAUAUUAUGCUAAAGCCACUUCCUAUAUGUUACUAUCUCGCUGUGGCAAUUUGUCAAACAGCUACUAUGCAACAAAAUUGCAUUCUAAAAUGUGUACAACAAUGAGUUAGAAAAACUGUAUAAGUGCAUAAUGAUCAUCUUUAAAAUAGUUUAACAACUCAAAAUUGGAGGAAAUUUAUGGAUUCCAAAACCACAAAAAAGUUAUGAUAACUGAAAAUAACGCACCUGAAGUCUCUGGUUAGUGCUCAACCAGAGAGAAUACUAAUGUCACGUGCUUAUUGUUAUUGUUAUUACAAAACUACCCACUAUAUUUUCUUUAUUUAUAAAAUUUAUGUUUUUAAGAUAAAAAACAUAAAAUUUUAAAUAAUUCAUUUUUUCAAAUAAAUAUCCAAAAUAACUCAUUUUUUCAUCUAUUUUUCAAAAUAACCAACUUUUAAACAAAAAAAAAUUUCAAAACAAAGGAGGCGUCAAUCCAAUUGACGUCUGUGUACAUCACAUAAGAGGAGAAGACAAUCCAAUUGACGACAUUGUACAAACACGUAGGAGGGAGAAUAUACUUUCUCUCCUAUACGUUUGUACAUUAUCGCCAAUUGGAUUGACCUCUCCUCGACCUCUCCUCCUCUUCUGUGUUGUACACGGACGCCAAUUAUAUUGACGUCUCAUUUAUUUUGAGAUUUUUUUUUAUUUGAAUGUGGAUUACUUUAAAAAAUAAUUAAAAAAGUGAAUUAUUUAAUAUUUAUUUGAAAAAAAUUAAUUAUUAAAAAAGAAGACAUCCCUUGUCAUUUAGUCAUUGAGUUAAGUGAAUAAUAUAAAAAAGAAAUUUUAACUUUAAUUAUUUGUUAAAAUAAAUUAUUUUUAAUUAAUAUUUUAUUUUCUCUCUAUGACAACCACACAUUUAAAAAAUAUGAAGCAGGUGUAAAAUUGGUGGGACAAUACUUCAAAUCAAAUUAAUAUGCAACGACUUUGUUCAAGCCCACAUUAUUAUCUUACUUCUAUUUGCAAUAAUUCUAUACUCCAAAUAUUCAUUAUGCUCAUAAUUAUCCUGCCAAAAAAAUUCCACAGUCAAACUUUAAUUAAAUUUUUUUAUGCACAUUCCUCUAAAUUGAUCCAAAAAAGUACCAAUUCAGCCUAAAUUAUAAACUAAACAAAUCCUAAUCACUAAUCAGCAAUAAUCACUAAUAAUAGUUAAAGAGACAGCUGCUACAAAAAAAAAAAAUAGAUUGGUACCAUCUCAACAGCUAUUUGGUAUAAGAUAGCAACUCAUCCUCUCACUCUCACAUAAAAAAUUAUUUUUCAUAUUCUUUAUAUAUAUUACUUUUGCUUCAAGUCACAACCAAGUGAAGCAAUUCCAAACAAAAACUAGUAAUUUAGUUUGAAAGUAUCAAUCAUAACCUCAUAAAAUUUCAAACGUUUUCUUUAACACCAAUACUUUAUACUUUAUGUUCCAUUUUAAAUAACCUUCUCUUCACUUCAUUCUCUUCCAACCUGAAAAUUUUCUGGUCAAUUUUUUCAUAACAUGGGUUCACUAGAAAGGUCAAAGAAAAAAACCCAUUUAUGGAAAAAAGCCAUGCUUCAUUUUUCUCUAUGUUUUGUUAUGGGUUUUUUCACCGGUUUAGCUCCAUCAGGUAAAUCUCUAAUAUUUUCUAGCAAAAUUGAAGUUGCAUUUGCAGUUUCAAACGUAACAGAGUUUGUAACAGCAGCACCUCAACCUUCUCAAACUUCAACGAAAAAUAGUAACAAAAGUUGGAUAGCUUCAGCACCGAAAAUCCAUAGCCAAAAAACAAAGUUGCAUGCAAAACCACUACCUCAGUUAAAGCCGAAAAGACUUGUUAUCAUAGUAACUCCAACUAGCACAAAACUACCUUAUCAAAAUGUUUUUCUGAGAAGGUUAGCGAAUACUAUAAAGCUGGUUGAUCAACCGGUGCUUUGGAUUGUCGUCGAGGCGAAAACCGAUUCGCCGGAGUUGUCGGAGAUUUUAAGGAAAACUGGUAUCAUGUACAGACAUGUUGUUUUCAGUGAAGAGUUUGAGGAUUUAGAAGGUGAAUUGAAUCAUCAGAGAAAUUUAGCACUUAGUCACAUUGAACAUCAUAGAUUGAGUGGGAUUGUUCAUUUUGCUGGACUUUCAAAUGUUUAUGAUCUUCAAUUCUUUCAACAGCUUAGAGAUAUUGAGUAUGUUUUCUAACCCUUCUAUUUGCUUAACUAAUUAUUAAUUAUAUUAUUAUUAUUUUGUUGUCUUAUAGUGAUUUGUUCUAAUUUAAAUGUAGCUAGUGGGGGGAAGUUUUAAAAAUAAGCAAAUUUUUUUCAAUUAGAUGGAGAAAAGUUAGUGAGAAAAUCUUUAGGUAUACCAAAAGAUGAUGAUGAUAACUUUAGUGAAUCUUCAACUUAGAUAAAAAAUCAUAUACAAAGAAGACUAUUUAAUUAAAUAUGUAUAAAAUUAUUUUUUAAAAUUAAUAUUAAUAGUAUUUUUUGUAUUAGUAUUAAUAUUAUUACAUAAGAUUUUGUUAUUAGAAUUUAUUUAUAAAUUUGUUGAUAUUUUCAGUAACUUAUGUUUAUUAAUUAACAUUAAUAUAACAUUUUAAAACUUCAUAUUAAAUAUUAAAAUAUAAUUUAAUAUCACUUACUUAUGAGUUUGUUAAUAAAUUUUAAAUAUGACUUUAGAAAAUAUAAAAUUUAUUGAACUUUAAAUUAAAUUAUAAUAAAUUACUUGUCAAAUUUUAAAAGCUUUUAUCUGAUAAGACUUAAUUCAGUAAAAAUUUACAUGUUAAUAAAAUCAAAACUAUCAUUGAAGUAAAUUUUUUUAAUGAUCUACAAAUUAUGAUAUUUUACAAUUACUAGUUGAUUUUUAAAUUUUUUAAAAAACUUAUAUGCUUAAUUUUCUUUAAUAUUUUUACAAAAUAAUGUGUUUCAAUAUUUUAAUUGUGAUUAAUGUGACAAUUGAGCAGGGUCUUUGGGACAUGGCCAACAGCAUUAUUACUUGCAAAUAGAAAAAGAGUCAUACUUGAAGGACCUGUAUGUGACUCAUCUCAAGUUAUUGGAUGGCAUUUAAGAAAUAUGAACAAUGAAACAAUAACUCCUCCCAUUCAUAUUUCAAGUUUUGCAUUCAAUAGCUCCAUUCUUUGGGACCCUGAAAGAUGGGGUAGAACUUCAUCUGUUAAACACACUUCUCAGGUAAUUAAUCACUUCAUAAUCAUGUUUAAUCUCAUUCUAAAAUAGGUAAUUAAUUAAGUUAGUUUAUAUCACUCCUUCACUUUUUACAAUUUUACUUGCGUCUACUUAACAUUUACCCAACUACUUUAAAAAGAAAACUCAAACGCAAGAAAAAUUAUGCAUUAAGUAAUGUAUAAUGACAACAUGAUUAAUUAGUUGAACUAAUUGAAUAGAACAAUACUACUAAUUAUGUAGUGUUUUCUACUCCAUGUAGUAAUGUUUUCUACCAAACAAUUUUGUUGCUAUUUUGUUUUUUUUGUCAUAAUAAUGAUGCUACUUUUUGUGUGGUUAUCUUAGAAUUCAAUCAAGUUUGUGAAGCAAGUAGUUCUAGAAGAUGAAACAAAGUUGAAGGGAAUUCCACCAUAUUGCUCCAAAAUAUUGUUAUGGCGUUUCAACUUCUAUGCUCGUGCCAUGUCCAAGCAUUAAUUUGUAGGAUAUUAGAGAGAAUAAGGAAUUUGAAGCAAUUCACAAAUUGCUUUUCUACUACAAAAUAUAUGAAAUUUAUUCAUUUUUUUUACCUUUUGUAAUUGUAUUUCGUAUAUAGUUUUUUUCUUCGUUCAUAAUUUUUGUUAGUUUAUGUAAGAGAGGCAAAACAUUUAAAGCAUAUUUUAUAUUUUUAUUUUUUUGAUAUAAAGGCACUAGAGUUUCUAGCAUAUUACUUAAUGCACCAUAAACAUUAUUUACUCUUGUAAAAAAUUAAAAUUAUCCUUAGAAUUUAGAGGUGCAUCCCGGAUGCAUACUAUUUACAUAAAUUAUUUUGUUUUUGAGUCACACAUUAAUUAUAAUUAAAUUUUAUCUAGAAAUGCAUAUAUGUAUUUUAUAUAGAUGUAUUUCUGAAUCCUAAUGAAUCAAGAACAAUUGCAUAAAUGAAACAGAUACACAGUCAGAGAUAAAUUAACAUCAAUAAUUGUUAUGACAUACAUAAAAAUCGAAACAUUAUAUUGAUAAUUGUUAUGACAUGCAUAAAAAAAUGAACUAUACAUUUCAUCAUCAAGUAUGACGUUGCAAUAUCUUCAAAAUAUCUUCGGUGGAUCUCGUAAUUUUCACAUCCAACUCGAUUGAACCUUUCGUUUUGUAAGGGUGAAAUGUACUCCACAUAACCCUUAAAUCAUCAUCUGUCUUCAGCUCAAACUUACUGAACUGAAUGUUUCCUUCGUUAUCAAUCGAGGGUGAACGACACUUGAGUUUGAUAACUUUUUGAUUGUCUAAGUAUUCUAGAAGAUUCUCAAAAUAUGCAUUUCAGAUCUGCAAGAGAGGUGUACUCAGUGACCUUAAAUUCAAGUGAGACAUUCACGACGUUGAAGUAGACAAAUGCGACAUGCCAAUAUAUGUUAAUUCUGGUGUAAUGUGACUUUGUUAAAAAUUUGAGAUGAGAGAUCCAUUUUAUACAAGUUUUAGGUCAAUAUGGAACUUAGAAAUUCAAUCAUGUCCCAAGGGAAAUUCCGUAGAUGUACUUCUUAAAACACCCUACUUUGUUGUGUGAAAUUUAUGAAAAUAUGGUGCAUCAGAAAAUACAUUUUUGAAUAAAUUCAUGUUCGUAUUUUUUUAAAAUAUUUGGGAUGAAUCCAGAAAUGCAUUUUCGGAUGCACCAGAGACUGUUUGCUUAACCAAUUUCAGAAACAGAACCUGUUUUCCAAUAGAAAAUGGAGAAAUAUUUUGAAAAUUGAAACAAAUAUUAAAAUCUAUGAAAACAUAUAUAUUUAACAUCAUUAAUAUUAAUAUAAAAUUACAUACAAUACAUGUCUAACCAAAUAAACACACUGUUGAAUAAAAACUAAAAUGAAUCAAAACAUGUGUCACCGUCUAAAUCUAUAUGUAUGAGAAUUACACAUUUGACUUUUGUUUAUUUGUUUCUAUUUCAAUCUCGCUCAACUUGGUGAAUUCUUGCAUCCUAUCCAUAAAAGGAUUCAACAAAGUCUCAGUUUUCCAUGUUGAAUGAGUUGUCCACUCCAGGGUGUUAGGGGUACAGGGCAUCCUGAUUUCAAAACUAAAACAAAGUGUCACGUUUUUGAAAGUCAUUCAAUACACAUAAUACGAUCAAUUGGAUUUUGAGGUGGGACAAUGUAUAGUGGAUUUUUUUUUCGAAAACUAUAUCUUGUCAGAUCAAUACACACCUUAUUAUAUGCAUUUGUUAUAAGAUGACUCAUUUUAGUGAAGUACAUCCAUUUUUCUUCUGGCGUAGCUCCCCUAAUGCAAGGAAUAAGAGAUUCAUGAUAUGCACCAAAAUUUUCUUUUUUUCCGUAUAACACGUGUGUGAUUCUUUAUAGUCGUGUGUAUGAUUCUUUAUGCACCAAAAUGUAUGAUCAUCAUCUCCUUUACCGAGCAAAGCAGAAAUAUAUCGAAAACCGCCAUUAUCGUUGCCCUCAAUAUUCAUGAUCCGUUCUGAAGGGAUUUAAAGGAGAUUUUUCAAAAAUUUUGAUCCCCUUAGUGGAACAAUCCCGAUGAAUGGAUCUUAAUUAAAUCACUAAUCACGAAUCAAACACAAAUAAAGGUUUUGAAUUCUCUCUUGAAAUGUGCUUUAACUUUGAUCAUGAACGUGAAAAAUAACACCGUCUCUAUGAAGUCUACGCGAGUACAAAGUCGAACGUGAUGCUAGCAUUUUCUUUUUCUGAGAAUGACUUUGCAAAGGAAAUAAUUUUUCUAUUUAUAGAGAGCUACUAAAACCCUAAUAUGUUCUUAUUUUGGUCUUUGUAAAAAUAAGCUCAAUCUUAUUUAAUUAAAUAAUUUUAAUUAAAUAAAAUAUAUUUUAUAUUUAAUUAAAUUUUUUAAUUAUAUAAAAUAAAAUAUUAAUUAAAUUAAUCAUAUUUAAUUCAAUUAAUUAUCAAUUCUCAUUUAUUUAAUUAAAUUAUAUUUAAUCAAAUAAAUUAUAUAUGUAUUAAUAUAUUAAAUAAUCUAAAUACUCUUAACACAUGAUUAAAUUAAAUUAAAUCUUAUUUAAUUUAAUCAUUCAUUCAAUUAUCAGUACUCUAUGGGUGAUACUUAUUUGAGGACGAACAUGCAUUUUACAGUCAUACUCGUUCAAGGGUCCAUAAAUAUUAUUCCAGUAUAUAUAGGAGAUACAAAUCUCAUAUAAGUCAUCCAUGUCUCUUAACAUGAUUUAUAAAAUAUUCAUCCAUCAUCUUUAUAUCUUUAUAGGAAUUCUUUUAUGGAUAACUUUUGAAUGUAGUGUGUACUCAUUUAUGUAAUACCUAUAGCACUCGGUUGUUUUUCUUUGGUUUAUCAAAACAACCGAUGCUUGUUUUAGUGUUUUGACCAAUAUUUGAGAAUUGAAAUAAGUUCUUUUAAGUAGUCAUAAUUGCUCUCCAAACCAACGCCAGCUAGAGUUUAGUAACAGUUUAACUUGUAUAAACUUGCAUAUUAAACAAUUUAAAUUGAAUCGUUCACAAUUAUUAACCAAUGUCAUAAAGUGGUAUAAGUCCGACCCCUGUUAAUUCAUGGAUAAUCUGCAAACUUUAACAAAACAAAUAAUUUUAAUAUUUACUUAAAACUACCUUAAAGUAUAUUUGGAAAAUAUCUUUUAUCAUAGACCAAAUUAUAAGAGAUAAAUGUAUAUUUACUUUUAAAAUAAUUAUUAUAGGAGUCACUUAUAACUUAGGGUCUAAAUGAUUUAACUCACACAAGCUACAAUUUUAACGGAUUCAAAAGUUGGUCCAAUUGCUUAGUUUAGAAUUCUUUAAAAAAUCUAUAAAACUGAACUAUAAAUUUGAACCAUAUUGUUGUUAAAUAAAUUAAUCAUUCAUUUUUAAAUAACAAAAUUAAAAGAACAACACUGCAAAUAUAUAAAAGGUGAGAUACUAGGUUCGGGAGUCAUUUAAGUGAGAGAAAAAUAUUAGACAUCUCUCACCUCCAUUGUAUUCAAUGAAAUCCUCCUCUAAAUCUAGGGUUAGUGUGUUUUUAAGAGAAUUUUGCUUUAAUAUUUAUUAAUUAUUUAAUUAUUUAUUUAUUUAACAAAAAGAUAUUUGAUUAGAGAAAAGAAAAAUCAAUUACAAAAGAAGACUAAAAAAUGUUUUUGAUUAUUAUACUUGCUAGAAUCUUACAACUCUAACUCUAUGCCUACGUACCAUUACUUUUAAUGAAAGAUCAGAGUCUCGUAGUUCUGGUAGAAAAAUGUUUGUAGUUUUUAUCCCUUAAAAAUUCUUAAGCAUCGGGGACGAAAAAGUAAUUGAUUUUGAAAAAUGCAUCAAUGCACUAUGGCAGAUGACUUAUAGUUUGAGGUGAGUUUAAAUUAAUUUUAUUCCAAUUAUUGAUUAAAAAAAUAUAGUACUUAAUUUAUUUAUGAAAAUAAAUAUUAUAUAUUUAUAAGACAUAUCUCUUAUCCCGAUUGUAUCCCCGAUUUAUCCCUUAUUUUUAUCUCUUUGAAAUCCUAAAAAUCUAUCCCUUAUUUUAUCCCAUGUUCUUAUCCCCUUUGAUUGCAAAAAUAUAAUAUAUUAAAUAACUUAAAUAAGAUGUAAUAUGAUGUAUCCCUUAUUUUUAUCUCUUUGAAAUCCUAAAAGUCUAUCCCUUAUUUUAUCCCAUGUUCUUAUCCCCUUUGAUUGCAAAAAUAUAAUAUAAUUAAAUAACUUAAAUAAGAUGUAUCCCUCAUCCCGAUUUUAUCCCUUAAAACCCUAUAAAUUAUCCCUAAAAUUUCUUGAUUUAAUUAUCCCUAGUUUCUAUAAAUCCCUAAUUAAUAUGACUAUUCUAAAUAAUUGAUGAAGAAUCCAACUUAAAAAUAAAUAUUAAAUUAAUGAAAUCCCCGAUUAUUAGUUUAAUUAAAUCCAAUUAAUUUUAAUAAACCAACCUUAAUAAUUAAAUUCCUAAAACUAUAUAUUCAUUAAAAUAAAUAUAUUUUAAAAAACAGGGGGGGUGUAUUAUGGUACUAAAUAAACAAUUGGGCUUGAAGCUGGGGUGUGGGAAGCAAUGGAAAGAAAGGCCCAAUACUCUCUGAAGUCUAACGCAUGGGGGUCUAUAGAAGGAGAGAGUCAAUCGUUGACUCUCUUUGGUUCCUUUGAUCAAGAUCAUGGGGAUGUUAUUACACUUAAUCAUAGCCUUUGGUUUGAUUGACUGGUCAAAGUAUAUAGAGUGUAUGAUUGAAAUGCAGAGUCAAAAGGGGACUCGGGGUAUACACGCAUACACAACGGGUGAGUUUUUUCCUGCAUUGCCCUCCUAUUGAAUUUUUUUAUCCAAUAUGCCCCAGUCUGAAAAUAAUUUCCCAAUCUACCCCCUUUUUCAAUUAGGGCUCGCCACUUCAAACGACGAGGGGAUGAAGGCCUAAUUUACGCAGUUAGGGCUCGUCACUUCAAGUGACGAGGACAUGAAGAAGGAUUUUUUUUUAAUAUUUUAAAUAUUGUAUUAAAUAAUAAUAAUAAUUAAUAUAAUUAAUUUUUAAUUAUUAAUUCUAUAUUUAAUUAAUAUAAUUGAUUUAAUUAAAAAUAAUAAUAAUUUUUUUAUAAAAAAAUAUUUAAAAUAAAUUGUAAAUAAUUAUAGUUUUUCAUGAUAAUAAAAAAAUUGUGAUANUGUAGAAAUUGAAGAGAGUAAAUAUUUGAAGAGGGUAAGAAUGUGUGAAAUAGAAAUUGUAGGUAGAUGAUGAGUAAGAAGUGUAGAAGUAUUGAUUAUUUAUAGUGGUAAAAUUAUAAUAAAAAAAAUUGGUAAAAGUUUGAAUAGUAGAGGAUUAGACAUUGCAUUGCAUGUCAUGCAUGCAAAAAAAAUUGUAAGGAUUCCCUGUAACAUGAGAUUCCCACGCUGAAGGGAAAACACAAUGCCAAUAGCCUGCACUAUGGCUCGUCACUUUGAUGGACGAGCUGUACCUACUUCUUUGAGGCCUCGUCAAAUGGAAUGGCGAGGUGAUUCAUCCUCUUUGUUGCCUCGUCAAAUGAAGUGACAAGUUCUGUAUGUCUAGGGUUUUGUCUCGUCAAUCCAAGUGAUGAGCUAUCACAUGCCAAUUUCCUCACGCGUUUCCCUACUUCUCCCUCCUCUAUUUAACUUAAAAUCAGCAUGUGAUUUGGAUAUUGUAUUAUAUUCACACCAAAUCAAACUCAUAUUUCCUAUAAAUACUACUAACUUCCUCAUUUACAUUCACCAAAUCAAAUCCUCAUUUAUAUUCACACCAAAUCAAAUCCUCAUUUAUAUUCACACUAAAUCAAAUAUUACACAUCCAUGGCUCAAAGAAAUUUAGUUGUUUCUAUCCAUUCCGAAGGGUCACUUUUCACAUAUUCAAGUGAGGGAUUCUCAUUUUGCAAUACGAAUUUAACUAUGUUCAAAAUCCACAUCAACUCCGACUUUCAUAAUUUAAAAGACCGUAUUGAAAAGAAGUUGCAACGUUAUGUUGAAGACAUCAUUUAUCGUCAACCAUUAUUUAAUGGAGAUGAUAAUACCGUCUUUCACAUAAUGACACCGAUUAAGACCGACGAAGAAAUUUGUUGUUCAAAUCCAAAUUGGAGUUUGACUCGAUCCGUCUGAUGCAUCUCAACGGUAUAGAAACAUAUGAUAUAUGUUGUUGCACUCCAGACUCGGCUGUCAUUAUAAUCAGGCACUGGAUAUUAUAUGUACGGCCUCCAAAUAAACUGUUAAAAGAAAUAUAACUAUUAGAAUGUAUAUUAAAUUUAAAUAAGUUAAAUAUUUUAAUUAAUCAUUCUUACAUCUUUUUCUUCCAUGUGUUCUAUUGCAACACGGUACCCUUGUACAUGAUGUCGAGGAUUAUUUCGAUAAUUCAUACCUCGUUUGCACCAUCUUGCAUAUUAAAAAAAAUAUGUUAAAUUGACGUAUAAUUUUUUUUUGAUAAAUAUAAAUUGCAUUUAAAUGAAAAUCGUUACCUUAAACCUCGUUACUAACCGGGGCUAUCAAGGGUAUGCGUGUGAAUGCCCAUACAGUUAGUAAUACCACACAUCCUCCUAUGCUCUUUACUCCUCUAUGGGCCGCCUUGCACAUAUGUCUAUAUAGUGUAGCCAAACAAGCAGAACCCCAACUGUAUGAAUUACAUUUUUCAAGGUCUCCUACUAAAGGUAACCAAGAAGAAUGCAACAAAUUGUGACUUUUAUCUGGCAUUAAAAAAGUAGCAAUUAAAAGUAAAAUAUAAAUUUUUGCAUGUAAAAUAUUUUCUGCCUCGGACGGGUUAGGGUUAUUUUUUAGUUGCGUUAAUACUGCGUCUAGCCAAACAAUUUUGACAGAAGCCCCAUUUUUAUCCGAGGGCGGUUGGUUCGAUGCCCAAAUUUUCCAUGUAAACGGCACUGGUUACGUUUGUUGGGCCAUUGACAGCUUUUCCAUGGAUUCGGAGACCGAAUAACAUACUCACAUCCUCUAAUGUGAUGGUACAUUCACCUGUUGGUAAAUGAAAUGUAUGUGUCUCCGGUCUCCAUCUCUCUAACAAUGCCACAAUGAGUUUAGAGUCUACUUUUAGACUUGCAAUUUUUGCCACAUUCGCAAAACCUGCUAGCUCCAAGUACGGUAUUAUAACCGCACUUGGUUGAAUAUAUGAAUGCAAAUGAACCCGAAAUUUUCCAUCUUGCUGAAAUUAAAAUAAAUAACAGUAAUGAAUAUUUGGUCUAAUAAAGAACGGAAGUAAAAAACGAUAAUAAAAAACGAUAAUAAAAAACGGUAAAUUUGAAUGAGACUUACGUAUUCGACAAUGUUUGCCGCCGUCCCACGGUGUGAUUCACCCAUCCAUAAGAAAGACAUCUUGAAAGGAAGUGUAGAAAUUGAAGAGAGUAAAUAUUUGAAGAGGGUAAGAAUGUGUGAAAUAGAAAUUGUAGGUAGAUGAUGAGUAAGAAGUGUAGAAGUAUUGAUUAUUUAUAGUGGUAAAAUUAUAAUAAAAAAAAUUGGUAAAAGUUUGAAUAGUAGAGGAUUAGACAUUGCAUUGCAUGUCAUGCAUGCAAAAAAAAUUGUUAAGGAUUCCCUGUAACAUGAGAUUCCCACGCUGAAGGGAAAACACAAUGCCAAUAGCCUGCACCUAUGGCUCGUCACUUUGAUUGACGAGCUGUACCUACUUCUUUGAGGCCUCGUCAAAUGGAAUGGAGAGGUGAUUCGUCCUCUUUGUUGCCUCGUCAAAUGAAGUGACGAGUGCUUUAUGUCUAGGGUUUUGUCUCGUCAAUCCAAGUGACGAGCUAUCACAUGCCAAUUUCCUCACGCGUUUCCCUCUGUCUCUCUCCUCUAUUUAACUUAAAAUUAGCAUGUGAUUUGGAUAUUGUAUUAUAUUCACACCAAAUCAAAUUCAUAUUUCCUAUAAAUACUACUACUUCCUCAUUUACAUUCACCAAAUCAAAUCCUCAUUUAUAUUCACACCAAACCAAAUCCUCAUUUAUAUUCACACCAAAUCAAAUCCUCAUUUAUAUUCAUACUAAAUCAAAUAUUACACAUCCAUAUGGAAUGAGUCAUUUAUCGUCAACCAUUAUUUAAUGGAGAUGAUAAUACCGUCUUUCACAUAAUGACACUGAUUAAGACCGACGAAGAUGUCAGGUCGAUGUUUCAAUGUCAUGUAACAUUAUCUCAAUUACCCAGCAUUGAGAUAUAUGUUCGUCUAGUCGAUAAUCUUGAAGAACAACCGAGUGACAAUGUUGAGGAACAACCGUCUCACAACGAAAAUCACUGUUAUCCAACGCAAUCUGUACAGUCACACGACUAUGGAAUGAGUCAAGCCAUUGACGAAGAGCCGACUCAAAAUAAUGAACCUUUCAUACCAAAUGAAGAGGUGGGCGAGAAUAGUGAGGAUGAUCUUGAGGAGGUUCGAUUUGAAGAUCUAUUCGGUGUUAGCGAUGACGAUGGCAAUGAGGAAAUAUUCGACACACCGGCCGUUGCACUAAGAGCGCAACCAAUUAGUUUGUACAACCCACCUGCGCACAUGCAAAACAUAAGUUUGGAUGAUGCCGAACCAAUCUCCGUUUUCGGCAGUUUCAUACCAACUCACAACUUUGACGAAAUAGAGGAGGGCAUAGAGUAUGAAGAUAAGGAAGAGUGUCUUCUGGCGUUGCAACAAUGGCAUAUAAAACGUAGUCUAGAUUUUUCUGUGGUUAAAUCUGACAGUGUAUGUUUUGUCAUCAAAUGUAGAAAUUCAACAUGCAAUUUCAAAUGCAGGGUCUCUUUGCGCAAGGGCAACUCAAGGUGGAGAGUUGGUAAGUCUAGUGGGCCUCAUACGUGCACAACCACUUCCAUGUCACAAGACCAUACAAAACUCAGUUCAGAAAUGAUUAGCAAGAGCAUAAUGGAGCUUGUAAAUCGGGACGCUUCUCUUAAGGUGAAGGUUAUCAUUGCUCAUGUUGUUGAGAAAUACCGGUAUAUCAUAUCAUACAAAAAGGCAUGGAUUGCAAAGUGUAAGGCGGUUGAGUCGCUCUAUAGAAAUUGGGAGACAUCUUACAACGAUCUUCUACAGUGGAUACUGGUAAUGAAAACAUAUCUACCAGGUACCAUUAUAGAAUUACAAACCCUACCUGUGAUUUCAAAUGAUGGUUCAUACUUGGGUGACCAAAGGAUAUUUCAUCGUCUGUUUUGGGCGUUUAGACCAUGUAUACGUGGCUUCGCGUAUUGUAAACCAAUUGUGCAGGUUGAUGGAACUUGGUUGUAUGGCAAGUACAGAGGGGCUCUGCUGAUGGAUGUGGCACAGGAUGGGAAGGGGAACAUAUUUCCGAUAGCGUUCGCAUUGGUUGAAAGUGAGACAAAGGAAGCCUGGAGUUUCUUUCUUAAGAAUUUGAGAAUGCAUGUUACCCCCCAAGCAAAUCUAUGCCUAAUAUCAAACAGGCAUGAAUCAAUAAAGAAUGCAUACAACAACCCGGAAAAUGGAUGGCAGUUUCCUCCUUCAUCACACGUCUAUUGCAUUAGACAUAUCGCGCAAAACUUCAUGCGGGAGAUUAAAGAUAAGGAUCUGCGGAAAAUAGUUGUUAACAUGGGUUAUGCGUUAACAGAGGCAACGUUUAACUACUAUCGGGGGGAAAUCCGAAGAACAAACAACGACGCUUUAUCAUAGAUAGACAACAUCCCUCGCGAGAAGUGGGCAAGGGCAUUUGACGGAGGGCAACGCUGGGGUCACAUGACAACUAACCUAGCAGAAGCAACGAACGCGGUGUUGAAAGAAACCCGGAACCUUUCAAUCACUGCAUUGGUCAAAUCUACGUACUAUCGUUUAGGAUCACUAUUUGGUAGAAGAGGCCAUCAGUGGACAAAAAUGUUAGCCUCUGGGCAGGUUUUCACUGAUAACUGCAACAAGGGGAUGGCUGAGGAAGUCAUCAAAGCUAACACGCAUAACGUCAUGCAGUUCGACCGAGAGAGAUUUUAUUUCAUGGUCCAAGAGAAGAUUAAUCAUAACGACGGUCGACCAACCGGAACGUUCAGCGUUGAUCUGAGGAAACAACACUGUGACUGUGGGAAAUUUCAGGCAUUUCACUUACCUUGCUCCCAUGUAAUCGCAGCAUGUUCGAGCAUACGCCAGGACUAUUCCAUUCACAUUCCAGACGUCUUCAAAAUUCGUAACGUCUUCAAGGUCUAUCAGGAGAGUUUCCUAGGACUUCCCCAUGAGGAGAAUUGGCCACAAUAUGAAGGAUAUACUCUUUGCCACGACGACUCUAUGAGAAGGAGGAAGAAAGGGCGCCCAAACAGCACCAGGAUUAGAACCGAGAUGGACGACGUUGAGAAGGAGAAGAGAAGGUGUGGAAUUUGUCGCGAAAUAGGACACAUGCGUAGGAAAUGUCCUAAUGUUGCAGGAUCAUCCCAACGACCUUCCAGAUGAUUAUCUUGUUGUUUUAAAUAUUCGUUCAGAUGACUAUGUUUAUUUAUUUAUUUAUUAACUACUAUGCACAUAAUAUAUAUAAACCAUUUUGUAUUUCUAAUGUCUUUUGGGAACAAACAUUUAUGAAAUACAUUUGAUAAUCAAAGGCUUCUGGUUACAAAGUACGACCACAUCAACUAAACAACAACAACAACCAACACAAGUGGUAAUUAAAAAACUAAUCAACAACAACAACCAACACAAGUGGACCUUCAACUCCUCUAUUAACUUCACCACUAUGUGCCGAAAACAUACAUUGGACAUCUUCAUCAUUUUCUAUACGAUCCAGGUAAUACAUGUACGUACCAUCGGGGCUUGCAUCAGUCAACGUUAUGUAUGGACAACGAUACUCUACUUUCCUCACCUUCAUACGACGCCCGCCCAACUGUCGGAAGCCAGUGUGGAUGGCAGAAAUCAGUGUUCUGAAAUUCCAUUGCGGAUCAAGGCAAACACUCAUUUUUUCACCGUGUCCAUAAAAUACAAGACCACAAACAGACAUUAUGAACUAAAGAAAGGAUUUGGUGGUGUGAGUUUCAUUUCUACCAGUUNNNNNNNNNNNNNNNNNNNNNNNNNNNNNNNNNNNNNNNNNNNNNNNNNNNNNNNNNNNNNNNNNNNNNNNNNNNNNNNNNNNNNNNNNNNNNNNNNNNNNNNNNNNNNNNNNNNNNNNNNNNNNNNNNNNNNNNNNNNNNNNNNNNNNNNNNNNNNNNNNNNNNNNNNNNNNNNNNNNNNNNNNNNNNNNNNNNNNNNNNNNNNNNNNNNNNNNNNNNNNCAACAACAACCAACACAAGUGGACCUUCAACUCCUCUAUUAACUUCACCACUAUGUGCCGAAAACAUACACUGGACAUCUUCAUCAUUUUCUAUACGAUCCAGGUAAUACAUGUACAUACCAUCGGGGCUUGCAUCAGUCAACGUUAUGUAUGGACAACGAUACUCUACUUUCCUCACCUUCAUACGACGCUCGCCCAACUGUCGGAAGCCAGUGUGGAUGGCAGAAAUCAGUGUUCGGAAAUUCCAUUGCGGAUCAAGGCAAACACUCAUUUUCUCACCGUGUCCAUAAAAUACAAGACCACAAACAGACAUUCUGAACUAAAGAAAGGAUUUGGUGGUCUGAGUUACAUUUCUACAAGUUCUGCUAUUUAUACAAAAAUUAAUAGUUGAAUACUCAGCCAAUCAUUGGCCGAGACAGUACAAACACAAAAACUUUUUGGCGGGAAAGAUAUCAUUCCCAAAAAAUGAUUGACAUUUUGGAGGGAAACAUAACAAUUUUAUUAUUAAUAUAUAAGACAUAAAUUAUUUCUAUUAUUAAUAUUCUAAAAAUUAAUCAUUUUUAUUAUUAGUAUUUCAAAAAUAAUAAUAUCACAAUUUUUUUAUUAUCAUGAAAAACUAUAAUUAUUUACAAUUUAUUUUAAAUAUUUUUUUAUAAAAAAAUUAUUAUUAUUUUUAAUUAAAUCAAUUAUAUUAAUUAUUUUUUUAUUAUCAUGAAAAACUAUAAUUAUUUACAAUUUAUUUUAAAUAUUUUUUUAUAAAAAAAUUAUUAUUAUUUUUAAUUAAAUCAAUUAUAUUAAUUAAAUAUAAAAUUAAUAAUUAAAAAUUAAUUAUAUUAAUUAUUAUUAUUAUUUAAUACAGUAUUUAAAAUAUUAAAAAAUAAAAAAAUCCUUCUUCAUGUCCUCGUCACUUGAAGUGACGAGCCCUAACUGCGUAAAUUGGGCCUUCAUCCCCUCGUCAUUUGAAGUGGCGAGCCCUAACUGAAAAAGGGAUAGAUUGAGAAAUUAUUUUCAGACUGGGGCAUAUUGGGUAAAAAAUUUCAAAUAGAGGGCAUAUGCAGCAAAAACUCACAACGGGUAUGUUGAGUCAACUGGUUGAUUGGUUGAGAGAGGUCACGCAAGCAUGAUGUGGCACUUGGCUGGAUGAGGGUAUAAAAGUUAUCUCCCUUUAGAAAUCUUCAUUUCCACUUCUCUCAUUCUCCCUCUCUUCAUUGCUCUCCCUCUCUCUUCUCUCCCCUCUUUCUACUUCGGCAACCCUCUUCCCCACCGUAUAUCCCCAGAAACCACCCACAAACCACCACAUUCAACUGAGAUCUUUAUGUUCAUCAUGAACAUGAAAAACACCCAACUCAGAAACCGACCCCUCACCAUCCUUUCCCCCAGAACCACCGAAUCUCCGGAUCUCGGGUUGAAGCUCAACCAGGAUCUUCAAUCAAUGUUCAUCUGGGUGAUGAACAUCAACCCAGAACCAAGAACCCUAACCCUAACAUUCAACCAAAACCCAGAAUCACAAGAACCAUAACCCUAACUGAAGAACCCUAACCUUCAAAAUCAAAACCCAAAUUCUCCUAACCUUUAUCAUGUUCAUCAUGAACAUGAUGAAUCUUCAUCCCUGAUCUCUGAACCAUAACCCAAAUUUCCAGAAAUCCCCACAAUUCACCCAAUCAUAACAAAAACAACCUUAAAUCAAAGGUCGUAACCUCUUUAUCAAUAAUUAACCGCCAAAAUAAAUAACAAAACAUCCUAAAACCAUGAAUCAAUCCAUCUGAACCCUAAUCCCCAAAUCAACCCCAAUCAUCAUACAUCAACAACAACAUCAAAGAGUCAACAAAAGUAAGCAAAUAAGUGAAGUUCUACCAACCUACAGAAUCGAGGAAUAUUCCAGUUCGAAAGGUAAUUACCUAGAGUCCUUUCUUAAUUACUUCUUUUAUUAUGCUCCUCUUCUAAUCCCUUUCUUAUUGUUAUGCGAGGUUUGAUGGUUGGCUAAGCUCAAAUAACUUAGGGUUUCAGUGUGAAGCCCUAAACAUCAAAUUUUGUUGAGCAUAUGGUGAGACUUUUAGGAUCAAUGUUGCGACUGCAAGUUCCAAGUCCUUAGGGUUUUCUUCGUCCCUGAUUGAAUUUUAGGUUUAUGUUUAUAUAAAUUAUUUUUUAGGGUUUUAGAUUUCAAUUCUGAUUGUAUGGUUUUAUAAGAUUAGGACCUGAUUGAUUAUGUAUUUGAUUUAGAUUGAUUUUGUGUUAUAAAUAGAAAUUAGGUUUGAAUUGUAACAGACAUUGACAAUUUAUGUAGUCCAAUUUUGAUUGAUAUUCACGAUUUGAAUGUAUAUGAAAUAAAAACAGAAAUUUUGGAUUGGUUUUAAAAUUGCAGUUUUCGAUUUGUUCUGAAAAUGGUUUUGCGCAAGUCAGGGUUUAGAUUAGGGAAGAAGCUGAACCUGAGUCAUGAGCUUGCCCCGGUUCAGUGAUGGAUCUUUGGUCUAGCCUGACCCAGUUCGAUUGUGGUUUUGAAUCCUCUUGGUCUGACCAUCACUUGGGCCAAAUAACGAUAAUCAAGAUAUAACAAAAAAAUAAUUGGCACGUCCAUAAUAAUAAUAUAACAAA
rnacentral:lncRNA from 1 species